rnacentral:lncRNA from 1 species
ACAAAUCGUUUUUCAUCUACAACCAACAACAAUUGCCAGAAAAGUAAAUAAAAUUCAUAAACCAACACCGAGAAAACAUCAAGUAUUUGAACGUGUCAAAUAAAGGAAUUCUAUUAAGAUAUUAAACAUAAGAACCGGUGUGGUUUUCAUUUUUGGCCAACAUGAAAGAAGAAGAUGUAAUAGUUAUAUUCGAAUAACUUACAAAAUGAUUGGCUCAGUUAGAAGCAAACAGAUCUAAAAACGAACAGAGAAUGACGAGCGGAACCUCGAUGAUGAACUCAAUGGCUCGAUGACUUAAAACUCUCAUGUACUGUCACUGUUUCUGCUGUAUUUUUGGCCAGUUGCGUGUGUGUGUUCUUAUUGUUCUCUUGGUUGAAAACGAUGAAGAAUGGGUCGUUGGUUUUUUUGGUUAUGGAGCAACCAUGAAAGUCGACUCUUCUCUUCUGAAGAAGAAGGAGAUCGCUAGGGGUCUGUGGUUUCUUCUUUUUCUACGAUUGGUUUGUCUUGGUUAGUACCUAGAGUUUUUUUUUUGUUUUAAACAAGAAGCAGCUGAUGGGAUGCAGUCAAAAGAAGAUCCAAUGCUAGGGGUGGUGAAUUGGGUGCCCCUUUCUAUAUCUCUAUCCGGUGUUAUUUUGUGUCCCUUUUAUUGUAGAGUCUAGGUCUAGGUUUAUAUUUUGUGUAUUUUGCCAGUUAGUCCCUAAGUCUUUUAUGUUAAGUCUUUAGGGUCUUUUUAUUUAUUUUUUGUCCAAAAGAAGAGUCUACAAGGAUCUCUAGAUUUGGCUUAAUUGGUAUUGGGUAUUGGGUCAAGAAAUUAGGCCAAAUACUAAAAUAUUACAAAAAUCAUAAAGACGGAAUGAACCGACCCAACAAUAAUUUUUCUUUUCUAAAAUUAUAUAGUUAUAGUAUAAAAAUAUAAAACUAAUUUUAUAAUUAAACUAACUAUAUUAAGACAUGAAACUAUUUUGUGUUUACAAAAUUAUAUAAAAAAUAAUGGGAAGGUACUACUUUUGUAUUAUUAUUAUUAUUAUUAUUAUUAUUACUACUAUUAUUAUUAUUAUUUAUGAAAAAUUCGUAAGCUAAAAUAUUUUUAUAAUUUCCAUUUUUUGACGAAAAUAAAGGAAAUGAGUCAAAAAUAGUUGAAAUAGAUAUAUUAGUCUAAAUUAAAUAUUUACACGCUAAAAUUUAAAAAAUCUUAGGGAGGUUCAAAAAUCACAUGUCUAUAGCUGCCCCUCUAUUGACAAGUGUAUCUUGUCUUCCAGGCAUGAAGACAUAUGAUAGAUUUGCAUAGCCAUUUGUCAAAGCCAUUCAACACUUGGCUUUAAAGCUUCAUGCAAGAGGCCAUUUGGAAAUAGAUAAAAAAAACUUAUUGCUAUUGGUUGUAAAUGGAAUUUCAAAAAGAAAUUUUUGACUUUGCACUAUGAAUGAUUCAAACAUCCCCCACUAAUGCAAAGACAAAAUUAGAAUAAUUCUGGGCAAAGGAAGGAACAUGUACUUAAAUAUCAAUAUCUUUCUAUAUGAAUUGACACAUAGUGAAACAAGACAACAGUUAACAUCCACAAAAUGAAGUAAUCUUGAACUGAAUUGACAUUAAUUGAGACCCCCACAACGCACUAUAUUCUUAAUUUUUUGUAAACUAUGCGAUACUAACGAAGUGAUUUUAUGGUCAUGAACAUACCUUGGUCUAUUUUUAUUGAACAUCACUCAAGAGAUUACUAAUAAUGCUAGUACUUUUAAUUCUGCUUAUAUUGUUGAGUCUAUUAAUUUGUCGCAUGGUAGACUUGUCAUGUUAAUAUUGUUUCUAUUAAAAGACUUCGAAAAAUGAAAUUAAUUCCUGCAGUUAAUGUUGAUUAUUUUUCUUAGUGUCAUGUUUGUGUAGAAGCAAAUCUUACCAAAAAGUCUUUUAAGAAUGUAACUAGUAGAAAAAUAGAAUUGCUUGAACUAGUAGAAAUACUACAUCACCUUUGUAGAUUACUUUUCUAGAUACACUAAGGUAUAUCUUCUUAAGUCAAAAGAUGAGGCUGAAAGCAUAUUUUUAAAAUACAAGGCAGAAGUAGAGAAUCAAUUAGACAGAAAAAUCAAGAGGCUUAGGUCUAACAGGGGUGGUGAAUAUAGUAAUAAUAAUAAUCUAGAAGCCAUUUUUGAGAAAAAUGGUAUCAUACAUGAGGAUAGUGCUCCCUAUACUCCCCAACAAAAUGGUGUAGCCGAACGAAAAAAUAGAACCUUUAAGAAAAUGAGCAUUCUAUGAUUUUGAGUUCAUGUUUAUCUAAUAAUAUGUGUGGUGGUGGGGGGAGUCCCUCAUAAGAUAUUAGAUAAAACCUCGUAUAAGUUAUGGAAAGGGUAUGCCCCUAACUUAAAAUUUUUGAAAGUAUGGGGGUGUUUGGCUAAUGUUGGUCUACAUGAUUUUAAACAACUAACUAUUCGAUCCAAAAAUUUUGAUGCUAUUUUCAUUAGUUAUACUCAAAAUAGUGUUGCAUAUAGAUUUAUGUCUUUAAACGAUAGUUUUAUUUGUGAAUCUAGAUAUGCAAAAAAAUUUCAGCAUGUUUUUCCAUUGAAAAGUAAUGUGCCAAGUGAUAUGCCGAAUAAUGCAUCUACAUCUAUGUCUAAUAACUCUCAUAUUGCACCUUCUUCUAGUGUUAAUGCUAAUGAGCAUGAAACAAACUUAGAAAAAGUAAGAGGCAUAGAAUUAAAGAUAGCUUUGGUCCUGACUUUAUUACCGCUUUCUUGACCGAAUAUAUUGAUCUUGAUAUUUUGAGUGAUAAAUUAGUGUCAAUUUAUUUAAUAGAAGAAGUCCUUAAGAGUUAUAAUAAAGCAACGAGGUCAAUAGAUUUUGAAAAUAGGCCAUUAAAUAUGAAUUAGACUUUAUAGUUUCUAAUCAUAUUUGGGACUUGUCUUAUUUGCCUAAAGAUGGUAAACCCAUAAGUAGCAAGUGUAUAUUUAAGAAGAAAUUGAGACCCGAUGGUACAAUUGAGAAAUAUAAGGCUAGACUUGUUAUUAGGGGUUUUAAUCAAAAGAAAGACAUUGAUUACUUUGAUACUUAUUCUCCUGUGACUAAGAUAGCGACUAUUAGAACUCUUGUUGAUGUAGCCACUAAAGACAUUGAUUACUUUGACACUUAUUCUCCUGUGACUAAGAUAGCGAGUAUUAGAACUCUUGUUGUUGUAGCUGCUAUUCAUAAUUUAGUAAUACAUCAAAUGGUUGUUAAAAAGACUUUCCUAAAUGGUGUUUUAGAGGAAUAGAUCCAUAUGUCUCAACCUGAGGGAUUUAUGAUCCAAGGACAGGUGAAUAAAGUAUGCAAGUUGAGAAAGUUUUUGUAUGGUCUAAAGCAGGCACCUAAGCAAUGGUAUGAAAAGUUUAAUAGCAUAUUAGUGGAUAAUGGUUUUAUUGUUAAUGCAUCUGAUACUUGUGUUUAUUCCAAGAUGAUAGGAUCAUAUUAUGUUGUUAUAUGUUUUGUAUGUGGUGAGAUGUUAAUCUUUGGCCCUUAUGUGAAUGUUGUUAAUGAGACUAAGAAUUUUUUGUCUUCUAAAUUUGAAAUGAAAGAUCUUGGAGAAGCAGAUGUGAUUUUAGGGGUUAAAAUCAAAAGAACUUCUAUUGGUUUGUCAUUGUCACGGUCUCAUUAUAUUUAGAAAAUGUUGAAAAUGUUUAAUUGUUUUGAUGUAGCACCUGUGAGAACUCUUUAUAAUCCUAGCAUACAAUUGAAAAGGAAUAAGGAGUCUAGCAUCUCUCAAACUGAGUAUGCUAAGGUAAUUGGUAGUGUAAUGUUUCUCAUGAAUUAUACACAAUCUGAUAUUGCUUAUAAUGUUAGUAGAUUGAGUAGAUAUACUCACAACCAUAGUAGUGAAAACUAGAAUGCUCUUCAUCGUUUGCUAAGAUAAUUGAGAGGUAUUAUCGAUUGGUGUUUGCAUUUUAAUAAAUUUCCUGUUGUUUUUAAAGGAUUUUGUGAUGCAAAUUGGGUUACUGACAAUGAUGGAGUUAGAUCCACUAGUGGUUAUGUGUUCACUUUGGGUGCAGAUGCUAUUUCAUGGAAGUCUUCAAAACAAACUUGUAUAGCAUGAUUUAUUAUGGAGUCUGAAUUCAUUGCUCUUGAGUUGGCACGGCAAGAAGCUGAGUGGUUGAGAAACGUAUUGGCAAACGUGCCUUUCUGGAGAAGGAAAGUUGCACCAGUUUCUCUACAUUGUGACUCACAUGUAGCAAUUAGAAUUGCCAAAUUAGUGUGUACAAUGGAAAAAGAAAUCAUAUCUGCAUUAGGCAGGGUGCGGUAAAACAGUUGUUAAGACAUGGUGUUAUUUCCUUGGAAUAUGUAAGAUUCAAAAGAAAUUUGGCGGAUCCUUUAACCAAGGGUUUGGAAAGAAGAGUUAUUCUUGAAAUAUCAAUGGAGAUGGUACUAAAGCCCAUGAAUUGAGGAAGUAUGGUGGAUACCCCUUUGUGGUCAAACGAAGCCAUAUGAGACUUAUAUAUGCACUACAUUUCCUAUCCCUAUGGCGUGUGGUAGUGCUUUAUAAGGUUGAGCUUAUUUUUCUCUUGAUGAUUUCAUAGUGUUAAGGUAGUCUAUGAGUAGAUAGACUUGAUGGAAUCACCUACAUGAGUGUAAAGGUGUGAUCGCCUUUUAUGAAAACUUGGGAUGUCUUUCUAGAGAACUCAUGAGACCCAAGGUAUGUGCAUGACCAUAAAAGCACUUUGUUAGUAUCGUAGAGUUUGCAUAAAAUUAAGGAUAUAGUAUGUGUUGUGGGGGUCUCAAUUAAAGUCCAUUCAGUUCAAAAGUACUUCUCUUUGUGGAUGUUAGUUGUUGCCUCAUUUCACUACGUGUCAAUUCAAAUCAAAGGACAUUGACACUUAAGUACAAGUUCCUUCCUUUGCCCAAAAUUUUUCUAUUUUUGUCUUUGCAUUAGUGGGUGGUUGUUGGAUUUAUUCAUAAUGCAAAGUCAAAAAUUUCUUUUUAAACUUCCAUAUACAAUCAAUAGCUAUGAGUUUUUACUUAUUUUUAAAAUGUCAUAUCUAUUUCCAAGUGGCCUCUUGCAUGAAGUCUUAAAGACAAGUGUUGAAUGGCUUUGACAAAUGGCCAUGCAAAUCUACUAUAUGUCUUCAUGCAUGGAAGACAAGAUACACUUGUGAAUAUUGGAGCCAAGUGGACUAAUAUAAUGGGUCAAGUGUCAAAAGACUCUCGACAUCUGUCAUACAUGCAACCUCCUUAAUUGCCUAUAUAUAGGUUAAGGAUUAGGCAUCAUAAUCACACGAUUUUUAACCAAAAAUUCAUCUAGAUAAUCAUUAGUUUCUUCCUAGUCUUCUUUGUGAAUUAUCCAACACAUAAAAUACCAAUAUUCUCCUUUUUCUGGGCAACUAUUUUGUGCAAAUUCUAAACUUCCAGCCAGGAGUGCACGUGUUUGAAGAGCUACUGGUCUUAACAAUUUGCACCCAGUUGGGUCGAAAUCGCUUUCAACGCAGUGGCUUGCCACGGCACAGUAUUUUGAUAAGUUGUAGUCUUCUUUCUUUCUUGUUCUUAGUCAAUAUUAUCUACUUAUUUUCCUUACAAUUUGAAACCUCUUGGGUCUCAAAAAUAUUGGUGUGAAGCCUUAACAUGAUUAUUAGCAUGAUUUACAUCUCAUUAACUUAAUCACAUAGUUACAACACAGAUAUCAGUAAGAAAGAGUCACUAAGUAGUGCCAUGGAAUGAUUCAGGCCGUGGUUCUCAUGGUGCAUGCUCACACGCCCGUCACUUUGCAUUUCUGUCACCUCAAUUGUAAUCAUAGAGCAUAUAGUUUGUGGUUUUGAACCCUCAGAAACAAGUUUGGAAGCGUUACAUACCUCAAGCCAAGCUAAACUCUAUCCCACGAUGCCUUUGCCUCUUGAUUCGGCCUCCAAAUUCCCCGAACCUAACAAAAAUCAGAACCAUAACAUCAAUAAAUGCUAAGGGAACAAAGCCCACACGAAAAUAAUCAAAUUACAUCAAUAAUCUCGAAAUUGGUCAAACUCGGGCCCCUUGGUUCCACAUCUCCGACUCUGAUAAGAAUUACAUCAAUAGAAUCCUUAUCCUCCCACGAGUUCAUACAUACCAAGAACAUCAAAAUCAGACCUCAAAUGGCCCCACAAACCCCCAAUUUACACUCUCCAGUUUCAAUCCCUAAUCCCUCAAUUUUAGGCUUUAAAUCCCACAAAUUUCAUGUCUAAUCAGUCAAAAAUCACUAUAGAAUCGAGUAUUGAGUUCAAAAAUCCUACCUCCAAGUGUUUCCCUUCGAUUCCCUCUUCAAUCCCUCUCAAAAAGCUCUAUAACCGCUCAACAAUGGUGGAAAAUAGACUAAAAAUCGCGAAGGCAACUAUUUAAACAUUCUACCCAGGCAUCAAUUCCUUUUUCGCGCACGCAGUCAAAGCCUUUCAUUCGCGAAUCAUAAAAAAAUCACAGCUCAAACUUUCCUCUUAUGCGAAUGUGAAAACCUCCUCAUGAACGCGAUGCCUUACUUAGAUUACCCUAUGCGAACGCAUUCCUUUGGUCGUGAAUGUCAUGCCUUAGGGAUUGAUGCCCAAGUUUGCUUUACCCUUAUACGCGAACGCGAACUAUGCCACGCGUUCGCAAUGUACAUUCUAACUCAAACUUCGUGAAUGUGGGACCAACAUUGCAAAUGCGAAGGGUAACUCGCCCGCUUCACUCAAAUUAUCUUCGCGAACACGAAGAAAAAAUCCCUGAAAUAGAAACCUGACAAAUCUACAACUUCCCAUAAUAAGAAUUUGAUCUGUUAAUCACCCAAAACUCACCCAAGGCCUUAUGACCUCAAUCAAACAUUCCAACACAUCCCAUAACAUCAUUCAAACUUAGUCGAGACUUCUAACCACUCAAAAUAAUACUAAAACACCAAAUCAACCUCGAAUUCAAGCCUAAGAACUAAGAAACUUUCAAAUUCCACAAACGAUGCCAAACCCUAUCAAAUCAACUCCGAAAGUCCUGAAAUUUUGCAUGCACGUCACAAAUGAUACCAUGGACCUACUCCACUUUCCAAAAUACCAUUCCGACCCCUAUAUCAAAAUUUCCACUACCAAUCGGAAAACGCAAAAAUUCUAAUUUCGCCAAUUCAAGCCUAAAUCUACCCCGGACCUCCAAAAUACAUUCUAAUCACGCUCCUAAGUCCUAGAUCACCUCAAAAAGCUAUCUGAACCAUAAAAACCAAGUUCCGAGUUCAUUUACUCACAAGUCAACUUUAGGUUGACUUUUUCAACUAAAAGGCCAACUUAAGAGACUAAGUGUCUCAUUUCUCUCUACAACCAUUCCGAACCCGAGCCAACCAACCCAACACAAUAUAAAAGAGCUGAACUGCAUAAUAUGAAGCAAAAACAGGAGAAACGGGGAUAAAACUCUCGGAACGACCGAUCGGGUCGCUGCAUUUUCCCCUAGUUAAACAUAUAAUCGUCCUCGAGCGUGCCCAAAGUUAUUCCAAAACCACCGAAAUUGCCUUGUAACCUACCAUGCACAUAACUGGGGGUGAUCCCACAUCAACCCAUCCCAUAUAGACCUGAUGGCAUAAUAUAACUGAGAUUUCACAAUUCAAUCUAGCCCAUUAACCUUAGAACCAAAUUUCCACUUCUAAAAUAAAUCAACAUCUCACAUAUACACUCUGAAAGUCCGAACAAGUUGUAUUAAACCAUAUACGUAGCCCAAGAUAUAGUCACAUAAUAUACCACAAAAGUCAAUCACUCGAAGCGAUGACUUCUAAUCACAAUAGUUGCUCAAAAUAAUCGAAUGUCAAUACUAAACUUCUUAUCAAUUAAAACCUCAUUCCGACAUUUUCAUAUACUACCAAUAAUGAAUGAUACAUGCAGCAAGUCAUAACUAUUCCCCAAAUCAGCCAUUCAUGAUGCUCCCUCUCCCUUGGCAAGGACUAUAGUGAAUUUCUAAGCCGAAUCCCGAUAUUAUCCUUCCAACAUGUUGAAAUCGAAUACGAUAGCAUUCAUUCUAGAUCCCAACGACCUCAUCUCAUCCAACACGACUACUGUAGUGACAUGACACAUUGAUACAAUCUAAAUCCAUAGCCCGUGCGACCCACGCACAAUUAAACGAUAGUCUAAAUGUUGUUAAAUCAUGGAAAUAUGACUCAAAUAAAGAGAGUUGUACCACAAGCUCACUAGUACCACCAUAUUACAAUGCUGAGAGCCCAUCACACAUCGUAGAACCAGAACAUACGAAUCUAACCCGAAGGAUCAUACCUCCAUAUAACUUCGCUACAAUGCGCGACCCUAUCCAACAAUGGUAUACAUGAAACACCUCAAGUCACUAUGCUUAAAUUCUACAACUACGCGCAAUUUGAUAUCAAGUACCAAAAGCAAAUCAUCAUAACACCGAUGAAGCAAAUGACAUAACACCACGCAAACCCAAAAGAACAUAACCAAUAUGACAUCUAUCGAGAAAUAGCCAACUCUCUUCCCAGCUCGAAUUCCCCUAUGAAGCGAAACUAUAACCGCAACAUAUGUGCCUAUAACCAACAAAGUGUAAUGCCUCUCCAUACGGAAAAGUAACUCACAGAUCACCCCAGAUCACUAAUACGAUCAAUAACAACCAUAUCAUUAUAUCCCUCAAUAAUAGCAAUUCGGAGUCAACAAGCCGACUCAAUGCAGAAAACAUAUCCAUAUUGGCCUACCAAUGAACCCCUUAUCAAGGAUUUCCUGAAGGUGCUCCUUCAACUACUUUAACUCUGUCGGUGCCAUACGUUAUGAUGCCUGGUCACUAGAUCAAUAUCGAAAUCUACAACACUAUCCAGAGACAUGCCCAGAAGCAGGGAAUACAUCUGGAAAAUCCCUCAUCACCAGAACUGAAUCAAUGGUAGGAGUCUCUACACUGACAUCGCUCACGAAGGCCAAAUAAGAAAGACAACCCUUCCCAACCAUCCACCGAAACAUAAUCCGUUGAACCUCACCACUCAAUCUGUGGCAUCCCUGGCAUAGCCAAUGUCGUUGUCUUAGCGCAAGAGUACAGAAUAACAUGACACGAAGAUAAGCAGUCCAUACCCAAUAUUACAUCAAAAUCUAACAUACUAAGCAAUAAAGGAUCCACUAAGGCCUCUAAACCCCGGUAGUCACCACAUAAGGCCGAUGCACGCAACCCACAGCCACAACAUAAUGAGAACUCCUCGUCUCCAAGUCCACAUAGCACACGAAUCACUAUAUCCGAUCCCAUUUCCACCACCCGAAUAUAUAACACACCUUUGAUACCCAAUCAUUCUAUGAGGGAUACUCUUAUAAUUCUUCGAUGCUACCAAGCAAACUGUAAAUAUCAGCAGUAGACAAGACACAAUAGUGUCGCAAUACCAAUGAAGUAUCCAUAACUCAAACACAUUGGCCUUUCGGAAAUGUAUACCCUCAUCAAGCCACACCAAUCAGUAAUAUCAUUUCCUUAAUCUUCUAAAUCUGCCUGUGUUGCCUAAGAAUAUAUGACCUUCCUUUCAGAACUGAACUGUGACCUUACAUAUGCUAUCUCAACCCUACACAACAUACCGUUUAUACCCUGCCAUCCUAUGUCAAAUAGGAGGACUUCAUAAUCCAUUAUGAUCCACUAGAAAAUACGUACUCAACUAGCCAAAAACUUUCCAUUUGAUCCCAUCUAGAAGAAAAUCACUAUACAUCACAUUCUCCUCAAGUCAGUAAAAGAUAUACAUCUCUAACUAUGGUAGAAAACCAUCAAAAACUCUCGGAAUCCCAUUUUCACAAAACAAAACCGUUAGGACUGAAUCAUUUUAACUCAACCAAGUCGCACAGGUUGCCAAAAACCCAAGAGCAUUGCCACGAGACAUAUGUAGAAACUCAUUGCCUCAUAAGCACCCAAAUAACUAAUCAUACCCAUUACCAUGCCGAUCUGACAUUCUACCAAGUUGUCCUACUCAGUUACUUCUAAAUUUCCUUAAAAUUGAUAUUUUUCCUUUCCGUAGUACUGCAAUCCUCAACCCAAACUCACCACUUGAGACUCAAGCAUGAAACCACACCGUCUAAGGCUCAUAAUCGAUUGAAUACUCUAUUAAAUUCUCAAAAGUGCCACAUUAAAAUUACUUACCUUAAAGUGAUUCCUGCAAAUCUAAAGCCAUUACCUUCACCUUCCUGAUAUUGAUGUGUAAAAUCCAUAAUGAUUUAGAAAUGCCACAAGUCUUGACACCCUCCAAUGAAAACCUCAUAUUCUGGCCAAUUAUACUUCCUGAAGAUAUCCAAUUGUUACAUAUAAGUCUUGAAUCCAUUAAAACCAUUCUUGGGAGUUAUCCGCUCUACUCAUAUUUCAAUUACACUGAUCAAACGAACUGAACGUCUUGUGCCCUAUUAGAACAUCAACUUCAAUGGAAGUAACCCCACCUUAAUGCAACCAAAUAAAUUCGUUCUCUAUGCACCGUACAUCAUUUACCAUUAAUAACUCAAGUCAUUCUGUAAUUCUCAUUUACCCAUAAAGCAUGACAUAACCUUUAUUAAAAUUUCCUUUAGUCAAUCCAUCCUCGAUCUCAACCCCUACAAGCCACAAUUGAUUCACUAUUAUACCUCAAACUGAAACCAAUACAACACAUAACAAUGCAAUCAACUAAUCAAUAGCGGGCUCCCCCACUUGGCUCAAAGCCAUAGGUCAAAACACACAGAACUCACAUUGCCCCUAUUUUACUACUGCCAUAAUACCAUGGUGAGGUUAAACUAAAUCCUUCAUAAGCUCGUGCAACACAAACCAUCUAGUACCUCAAAUCCUCUGAAAAAUCUCACAUUCAUCCUCGUAACAGUAGAGACAACUCUCAUAUGCAAUCCAAACUCAAACUGCAGCACAUAUAAUUCACUGGCAAAAGAGCACUUUCAACAAAUAACAUAGGGAUCAAAUAGCUUCAAAACACUCCGCAUGAGAUAACAUACCUGCUCCGCCUCAAACUAAAUUCUCUUUAUAUCCUUCCACCUCCAUAAACAUCACGCAAUCACCAAAUAUUCUUGACUCUAAACUCCAAUCGCGAUAUAAAAUCCACCUUACUCCCUGCUAACAACAUGACAAGAUCCUUCAAUACACCCUAACUCAGACCAUACCUCAAAUCACUAUGGAAAUCAAGCACCAAAUAGUUCUUUCUACCCAAAGAUAAGUACAGACGUCUUUGUAUCGAUCCACGAGACUCUACUAAACAUACUCAUGACUCGUGAGACCUAUGUAACCUAGGCUCUGAUACUAACUUGUCACAGCCCGUCAUGAUGGCGCUUAUCAUGAAACAAGGCUAGCCUAGACUCAAUAAUCAACACGAAAAUAAUAAGUUUGAAACCAUUUACGGAAGCUUUUAAUAGUUAAAGAACUGUUUGAAACAUAAGAAAUUCCAAGAAUAGAUACAAUCCAGCCCAAAACCGAGUUUUCACUGGGUGUAUGAGUGUCUAAGGAAAAUACAUAGUCUCAAAUAAUGUCUAAGGAACAAUUGAAAUACAACUUUAAAGUAAGGUGGAGAUAUAAGGCUUGAAAACACCGUGCAGGUACCUCAAUAAUCUUCUAAGUCAGAAGCCUCGAUCAAACAUCCGCCAUUGGAUCCAAAGUGCCUGGUUCUGCAGACGAAGUGCAAGGGUCAAUGUGAGUGUACCAACUCAGUAAGUAACAAGCCCAACCUUUGGACUGAUAGGUAGUGACGAACUCAACCUCCUCAAGGGUAACAAAAAUAAUGUACAGAAACAUAGGCAUGCUAUUAGUUAAAUAAAAAGCUCGAGUAGUAAAACAUAAAAAGUAUGAAUAAGGUAAAUAAGUGUAACUCUGCUACAUCUACAUCUACAUGUCAAUGCACAUGCUGUAUGAAAUGCACCAUGCUGAGUGCCUCAUGUGCUCACAACCUUAAACGCUCGUCCACUUAGUACUGUAUAUGGAUCAUACGGCCUGGGAAGAUCCAUCUUGGAAUAUAUACGUCUCUUAAUACUCAGUACUGAGGAAGACCAUUCCAGCCUAUGGAGAAAAUCCAUCUCUAGAUAAUAAUAGUAACAACCUCACAACCACUUGGUACUAUAUAUGUCUCACAAGGCACAAGGAAGAUCCAUCCUGAAAUAUAUAUACACAUCACUGACAAUGGUAAUCAAUACCGAGGAAGGCCAUUCCAGCCUAUGGAGAAGAUCCAUCUCCAAGUAUAAAUACGUAGAACAAGAUCCAUAUCCAAGGAAGAUUUAUCCGUCAAUAAUACCAACUGCGCUCACUUGGGGUAUAAAGACUCCGAAAGUGCUUCUCUUAGCCCAAGCGCUAUAUUAAGUCAAUGAAGACAUGAUAAAUUUCUCGUUGCGAUGUGCAGCACGAUCCUAUACUAUCACUCAAUAUCAGGAUCUCGGCCUCACUAAGUCAUUACUCUCCAAUCUCAUACACACGAGCUUAAAAUGUCAUGAUACUAGCACGAAAAAUGAUAUGUUCUGCCAAAUAACAAUAAUCGAGACUAAGGCCUGAUAUAAUAUGCAUGAACAUGACUGAGUGCAUGAUAUCAAUGAAGCUAGUGAUAUCACAGUAAGAAAUGACCUCUCCAGUCUCAACAGUAUUGGUGUCAACCCUUAACAUGAUUAUUAGCAUGAUUUACAGCUCAUUAAGUUAAUCACAUAGUUAUAACAUAGAUAUCGAUAAGAAAAAGUCGCUAAGUAAUUCCAUAGAAUGAUCCAGGCCACGAUUCUCAUGGUGCACGCCCACACGCUCGUCACUUGGCCUUUGUGUCACCUCAAUAGUAAUCAUAGAGCACAUAGUUUGUGGUUUCGAACCCUCAAAACCAAGUUUGGAAGUGCUACUUACCUCAAGCCAAGCUAAACUCUAGCCCGCAAUGCCUUUGCCUCUCGAGUCGGCCUCCAAAUUCCCUGAAUCUAAUAAAAAUCAUAGCCAUAACAUCAAUAUAUGCUAAGCGAACAAAGCCCAUGCGAAAAUAAUCAAAUUACAUCAAAAAUUCCGAAAUUAGUCAAACCCACCCCCACCCACCCUCCACAUUUUGAAAAUCUGAUAAAAAUUACAUCAAUAGAAUCCUUAUCCCCCCACAAGUUCAUACAUACCAAGAACAUCAAAAUUGAACCUCAAAUGGCCCCUCAAACCUCCAAUUUACACUUUCCAAUUUCAAGCCAUAAUCCCCCAAUUUUGGGCUUUAAAUCCCACAAAUUUCAUGCCUAAUCAGUUAAAAUCACCAUAGAAUCGAGUAUUGAGUUCAAAAAACUUAAAUCCAGUAGUUUCCUUUGAUUCCUUCUUCAAUACCUCUCAAAAAUCUCCAAAGCCGCUCAUCAAUGGUGGAAAAUAGACUAAAAAUCGCGAAGGCAACUAUUUAAACAUUCUGCCCAGACAUCAAUUCUUUCUUUGCGAAGGCAGUUAAAGACUCGCAUUCGCGAAGCACAAAAAAUUACAUCUCAAACUUUCAUUUUACGCGAACAUGAAAACCUCCUAGCGAACGUAAUACCUUACUCAACAUAGUCUAUGUGAACCCAUUCCUUUGGUCAUGAACACGAUGCCUUAGGUCUUGAUGCCCAAGUCUGCUUUACCCUUCUACGCGAACGCAAACUAUGCCACGCGUUCGUGAUGCAUAUUCUGAAUCAAAUCGCGAAUGCGGGAAGAACAUCGUGAACGCAAAGGGAAACUCGAACGCCUCAGUCAACAUCUAUUCGCGAAUGCAAGGGCCCUCUCGCGAAUGGGAAGAACAAAUCCCUGCAACAGAAACCUAAAGAAAUCUGCACUUCCCAAAACAAGAAUUUGAUUUGUCAACCACCCGAAACUUACUCGAGGCCCUUGAAACCUCAACCAAACAUGCCAAGACCUCCCAUAACAUCAUUCAAACUUAAUAGAGCCUUAGAAUCACUCAAAACAACUCGAAAACACCAAAUCAACCUCGAAUUCAAGCCUAAGGACUUAGAAACUUUCAAAUUCAACAAACGACGCCGAAACCUAUCAAAUCAAUUUUGAAUGAACUGAAAUUUUGUACACAUGUCAAAAAUGACACUAUGGACCUACUCCAAUUUCCUAAAUUCUAUUCUUACCCCUAUAUUAAAAUUUCCACUACCAACCGAAAAAUGCAAAAUUCUAAUUUCACUAAUUCAAGCCUAAAUAUACCUCAGACCUCCACAAUAUAUACUGAUCACGCUCAUAAUCCUCAAAUCACCUCAUGAAGAUAUCCAAACCAUAAAAAUCAUGUUCCAAGAUCAUUUACUCACAAGUCAACUUCUGGUUGACUUUUCUAACUAAAAGGCCAACUUAAGAGACUAAGUGUCUCAUUUCUCUCUACAACCAUUCCAAACCUAGGCCAACCAACCCAACACAACAUGAAAGGCUGAACCACACAAAAUGAAGCAUAAAUGGGGGGGAAAUGGGUCUAAAACUCUCGUAAUGACCGAUCGGGUCGUUACAUUUGGGAAAAAGGGAUUAGGGAGUGGAGACCCGAUAUCUAAAAUGAAAUCAACUCGGGUUUGGAGACCAUAUUGUUGGAAAAUUAUCAACUAGGGAGCGGUGACCAUAUUUUGGCAUCAGGUUAUGUCGGCAUCAGGUUAUGCUAGCAUCAGCUAAGGAGUGGAGACCCUAUGUUGGCAUCAACCAGGGAGUGGUGACCUAUGUUGGCAUCACGUUAUGAUGGCAUCAGGUUAUGUUGGCAUCAACUAGGGAGUGGAGACCCUAUGUUGGCAUCAAUUAGGGAGUGUGACCCUAUGUUGAUAUCAAGUUAUGUUGUCAUCAGGUUAUGCUGGCAUCCACUAGGGAGUAGAGACCCUACGUUGGCAUCAGGUUAUGCUAGCAUCAACUAGGGAGUGGUGACCCUAUGUUGGCAUCAUGUUAUGCUGGCACCAACUAGGGAAGGGAGACUCUAUGUUGGCAUCAAGUUAUGUUGGCAUUAGGUUAUGCUAGCAUCAACUAGGGAGUGAAGACCCUAUGUUGGCAUGAACUAAGGAGUGGUAACCCUAUGUUGGCAUCAGGUUAUGCUGGCCUCAACUAGGGAGCUAUGUUAGCAUCAGGUUAUGCUGGCAUCAACUUGGGAGUGGAGACCAUAUAUUGGAAAAGCGACUAGGGAGUGGAUACCCUAUAUUUAAGAUAAAAUCAACUAUGGAUUCAAAACCCUAUAUUGGAAAAAAAGCAACUAGGGAUUAGAGACCCCAUAAUACCAUGAUUUUUAACUUUUCUUCUUUUCUUUCUUUUUAUUUCAUUUUUUCCAUCAUCAUUUUAAUUUUAUUUAAGAGAGUGACUAAAAUGCGGGAAAGAAUUUGGAGGAGACUUCCCUUUUGGAUUGACUAUUGUUGCAGAGCCAUUUUAGUCUCUGCGCGGUUUUUUUUGGUUGCACCUGCUUUUUGCAAGGUUGCUUUGAAUUACACCUCUUUCCUGUUUUUAAACAAAGAACAAUUUAUCAGUUUGAAAUGGUGGCUAGUAUGUGGCCUUGAAUGUUUUGUUCACUUGAUCUCGGUCUGGCUUCUUUGAUGAUACUUUCAACUACAGUGGUUGUUUCUUGAAGACCGAUUUCAUUUCUGAUCCGAAAGAAACUUUGCAUUUCCAAACUUUACCAUGAUGGCUGGUCAAGUGGGACUUGACCUUUUUGACUUUAUAUUGCCAUUAUAGGUCUUUCACUUUUGACUUGUUUUUUUAUCAGUUCUUAACUUUGGAGCAUUGGGAACUUUUUGGCUCCUCAAAAUUUGCUACAACGGCUAGUUGCAUGGGACCGAACCUUUUCCUACUCCAUUUCGCCUUCAUAGGACUUUCAUUUUUUGCUUCUUUCUUCUAACUUCAAUUUUAGAGCAUUUAGGUUACCUUGAUUUUCAAACCUUGCCGAGACAGUUAGUCACGUGUGACUCAACCUUUUGAACUUUAUUUGCCCUUGUAGGCACUUCAGUUUGAUUGUUUUUUCUUUCAAAAGUUUUUAUCUCGAAGCAUCAGCCGCCAUGGCUAGUCAAGGUUGACUUGAUGCCCCUAACAAGGUUGGGUGCCUUUUUGCACAUUAGCUCGUAUCAAAUGGAAGCCCUGCAAAUCAAUCUUACCAUCAUUUCUUUGUCUUAGUUUCGGAAUAGAGUUAAACCGAAAGGGAUUUAAAGAAAACAAACAAUGGAAUGGACAAUGAAUUCAGACAAAAGGUGUCACGGCCCAACUUUCCCUCCAUUUAGGCAUCAUGAUGGCACCUAGUUUUAGGGACUAAUUCAGCCUAACUCAUACUGAAAUACCACAAUAAUAAAUGAAAUUUAACAGUCUUGAAGCAACAAUCUCUAAAAAAUUUAUAAUUCCCAAAAACCCGGUAGUACAAGUCAUCAGCUAUAUAGAGUUUCUCUACAACGUCUAAACAAAAUCGUUUGGAAAUAAGUACAACGGUGUGAAUAUAAAAUAGGAAGGUGACUCUGAAGCAUGUGAACGAAGCAGCAGGGCUACCUUGAGUCUCCUCUGCAAGAAUUCGCAUAGCUACUAGUGAAUAGUACUUGGAUCUACACAAAAAAAUGUGCAAAAGUGUAGUAUGAGCAUACCACAACGGUGCUCAGUAAGUAUCAAGACUAAACUCGUUGGAGUAGUGACGAGGAACAAUCAAUACACAUACUGGUCUAAUAAACAUAACAUGAUAUUUUUAUAGAGAAUACAUAAUAGGGCUAACAAUACAGUAAUUGCAAUAAGGAAGGAAAACAAAAAGUACUCAGCAGAACACCAUAAGGAAAAAGACGGAAAGGUAAGCGAGAAUACAACCCAAACUCGAAAUCAGAAAUAGAGUAAAGACAAGUCAUAACUCUACAGCUGCGAUAAGUUUCACCUUAAUUCUUAUCCAAAAAGAGUCAAUCAAGUAAUCAAAAAUUUCAAGUGAUAAAAAUGUGUCGAAAUAUACUUCAUUCAAAUAGAUGUUCUUUUCAAAAGGAGUUCUUCAAAAAUAAAUGCUUUACGAAUAUAAUCUUUUCAAACAAAUAUUCCUUGAAUAUAAGUCACCCUGUGACAUUUCAAAAUAGUUAAUUAAAAGAAAGUACCUUUGAGUAUAAUUUUUUCAAAUACAUAACCUUCUAAUAUAAGUCAUCCUAUGACACCUCAUCUCAUAAUCAUACAAUACGGGCCUUAAUACUUAAAACUUAUGUAAGGCCCCGUGAAAGUUUUCACUCAAAAACUCGAGAUCUCAUAGUACCAAGUGAGGAAUAUGUGUUAGAAAUUCAUAUAAUUUGGACCCUUUGGUAUGAUCUAUGCAUUAAAAGUUAAGGAAUAAUGUUUUCCAGAAGAGUGCAUUUCGGCGGUCCAUUAUGCGAUUGCAUAAUAGCUAUGCGGACCGCAUAGUUGCCGCAGAGUGACGCAGUUUGAUGGUUAAAUUUUGAGGUCAACUAUGCAGCCAAUUAUGCGAUUGCAUAAUCAAUAUGAGGGCCGCAUGACUUCGCACAAUCUCCUUAAAAUUUUUCGAGGGCCAGUUCUGUGGUGCAUUAUGCGACUGCAGAACAAGUAUGUGGAUCGCAUUCUUGUCUCAUACCCGGGCUGUUUGUUCAGGUUUCAAGGGCCAUUUUUGCGGGCAGCUGCUUAGUCUCAUCCGAGAGUUUAAUCUCCUUACUCCUUACUGCUUUUUUCAAAGAAAAAAAAGCAUAUGAAUUAUGAAAUCCAUAUGUGAUCGCGGAUUUGUAUCGGGGCUCCUAAUUUCUAAUUUUCUUACUCGACCCCAUGUUGAUAUAUUAUAUGAUGCCUUCCUUUUAGGCCUAUUUUCUGAUGCAUUUAGAGAAAGAGAGAGGGUCCUAGAGGGAGAAAGGGUUCUUCAUCAAUAUUUCUCCUACGAUCUUGCUUAAACCUUGAAGAUUUGUCAAUAAAGGCACCUAGGUCUUCUUCGUAAGGGGAAAGGUUCUGUAACCCAAGCUCUCAAUUACUAGAUAUAACUAAGAUAGACCAUUAGAAUGGUAAUCCACGAGGAUGGGAGUGGAUAUCUUGCAUGCAUGAGUUCUUAAAGUAUUUGGUGAGGUCUUGAGCUAAGGAUGGAAUGAGAGAUGGUAGGAUCUUUCACAAAAAGGUUUUAAAAGAAUAAUGCACGCUUAGUGUUUGAAAAUAUGCUCAAAUGAGCUAGAACUAUGAUCACCUCUAUAAUUUUUUGUUCGAUUUGUCAUGUUCCUAAGAGAUUGACGUUGUUAAGAGUCUUAGAGUAUAGUAGAACUUAAGGAAAGCUCAAUCGAGAUAUGUAGGCUAAACUUUCUCUCUCGAAAGUGAAUUCCAUAUUAUUUUUGUAAGUUUAAGUGGGGUUUGUCUACCAAGGUGGUAUAGCUUUGAGUCACAUUUUAAAUGAAGGUUAGUAUACUAAUUAGGUGAGAAGAACUCGAUUUGUUUAAUGCUCCUAGUUGCUCAUAUUUGUACUAAAUGCCUUGAUUGAAUGUGUUUCUUUGUUGAUAAACUGUAAAGAUGUUUGGAAAUGAAUCAAAUGAGAAGCUGUGACAUAUAUUAUGAAAUAAUCCUCGACACAAUUGUUAGGAACUAACUCAAAAAAAAUGAAUGGCCUAAGCAUCUUGUACCCCAACUAUGCCCAUAAGUGGUUGUUCUAGAUAUUACUUUGCCUUAUAAAUACAUUCAAUUUAAUGCUAGUCCUUACACAUUUCGAUGUUGAAAUUGUACAAUUGUCAUGAUGAGAAAAGAAUAAUUCAAGGAUAAAUGAGGUGUUUGUUUGCUUAUAACUCCAAUGUGUAUUUCAAUUGUUGGUUGGCAUGUCUCUCUUUGGGAAGAAUCCUUUAUGUUUGAUGUUUUCAUUACUAAUGAACUCGAAAAAAUAGGAUUUGGUACAUUGAUAAUGUUUGGUGAUCCUUGGAAAUAAAGGAGACUAAAAUAUGAAAAACUAAAAAUGCGGUCUUCGUGCCAUGAAAAAUAUGAACCUUAUGAAAGGCACAAAGGGCCAAAGAAAUAUUGUUAUCAACAGAGAUUGAGAAUAUUAAUAAAACUAUAAAAUGUAAAAGAUAUUGAGAAAGCACAAUUGUAUUAUGCUAUAUUUGUAUACUUGUAUUUAAACUAAAAUUGUGUGAAAUAUCUAAUCAAAUCAAAGAAAAAAAUUAAAGUAUCAUUAGCAAAACCGAGGAAGGGUGGGUCAUAAGGCUCAUACCUGAAACUACAUAUGCUGGAUUAGGGGUAAAUCUUGGUUAUUCCUCUCAAUUGGGAUGAACUUGGUAGCAUUUGUAAAUUGGUAAUGCAAACCAUAAGGCAUAUGUGGGAAGGCAACUUAGCCGAUCAGACCGUGAUUGGACUCCAUACCGCACAAAUGGUGGAAUGUGGUGGGAAUCAAACCUAGAAACGCAAAACUGGAUAUUAUGAUUGUGGUACAUUUCUCCAAAGGGACGACCUAGACGAUCAGGGUGUGAUAAGACUCCAUGCUAACAAAGACGAUGGUAUAACAUAUAUUAGUGUUAAUGAUCUCCCAACCAAAAAUUAAAUAUAUCAUUUUUGUAAACUAGAAGAGUUAUAUAUUGAAAAUUGGAAGCUUGUAAAUUGAUGGCUUGACUUAUUGUUUUAUGUUUCUUUCCUUGUAUGGUUAUUCUAUUCUGAAAGAGGACUUUUACCCUUACAUACUAGUCUUAUUCGAUGGCGCUAACAUCCCUUUUGCAGGGGGCACUGUAUCAUUUAAUUAUAUAGGUUGUUCCACAGUGAGCAUCAUCGGCCAGUGAUAGCAAUAUUCUCUCCCCAGCAAACGUAGUGAGCUCCACUCCAUCCCGGUGUAAUGUCAUGUAUGUUUUAUUCAUUUUCUUAUCAUGUUUUGAGACAUAGUCGCAGCCUUGUUGCCAGAAUUCCUUAUUACUCUUCUAUUGUGUUUAGAGGCUCCGUAGAGUGUUUGUGGGUGAUAGUUGAUGUUGGCAGUCCAGACUAGAUAUGUUGGUAUUUGAUAAACAUGUUUUCAUUAAACUUGUAACCUUGUAAUAUUUUGAAAACUAUAAAAGAAGUCAUUAACGGAAAUGUAAUAAAAGUUGCUAUGGAAGAUUGCUUAGUAUUUUGAUUAAAUGGGAUAACAUUCCUUCUUUAUUCAUGAACUAGUUUGGGUAGAAUAAAAUCUACCAGGCUUGCUUAGUCGAGUUUACUUGGUUGAGCGCCAGUCAUGUUUCAUGGUUUUGGGGCAUGGCACCCUAACACUUGGCAUCUUGUGCCCUUAUCACACCUCCUAAUCAUAUUGACAACUCUCGUUCCCAAAAGAGUCAUUCUCACAUGGAAGGCAAAUAAACAAGGGAGUGCGUCUAUACUCAGAAAUCUAAAGGAUCCUCCUAUCCGACAAGGGUGCUUAGCCACGUGUAUACUUGUGCAAGUGUCCUAUUAUAGUUCAUAAUGGCUAGUAAGCAUAGAGGACAAAAAUGGACAGCACAUAUACUAUUUACAUAGGGAUAGGAUCAAUGAAAAGCACAACUCAAAAACAGAGAUAACAACAGGGGAUCUCCCAGGAUAACGUCUCGUAGUCCCAAACAUAAAUGUGCAUAGGAUCUCCCGGAUAUCGUCCCGUAGUCCAAAUCGUAAAUAUGCAGGGAAAUCUCCUAAAAUACCGAUUCGUAGUCCCAAAGUAAAUAUCCAGUUUAGAGGGAUCUCCCGGGAUAUCAUUCCGUAGUCCCAAAUAUAAAGGUGCGGGGGGAUCCCCCGGAAUACCGAUCUGUAGUCCUAAAGUAAAUACACAACAACAACAAUGACAAUAAUAUAAAGUACGAUAAUUAAGGCAACUCAAGAACUGUAAAUCAUGAAGAAACGGUAGGACCAAUUCACAAGGAAUAACCACAGAAAAGAAUAAUGGCAUAGAGGGAACAGUUCAACAAAAUGGAAAUCUAACAUGUAACGACGAUCCCACAAUAUACAAGUCAAUAACAAGGAAAUCAACACGAUUCAAGUAGUCCCAAAAAAAGGUAAGUCAACAAAGAUAUAGGUCAUCUAACUCAUUUUAAGGUUGGACAAUUACAAGAAUAUUCGACAAUUCAAUUAAAGAAAUAUGAUCUUAGCUUCACUUAAUACUAAACAAUUAUAGGAGGCAUAAUGAUAAAUUAUCAAUAAGACAAGCAGAUACGAAACGAUAGCAUGACAAUAGGAGAAGCGAAAUUCUUCAGUUAAAUCAAAUAGGGUGUCAAUUAGGCAUUAAGGGUGAAUCAUGAAACAAUUAAUUCCAUUUAAGCAUGUAGAGUUGAAGCUAAUAAGCAUGAACUCAGUCAUACCAAGAAUAACUUCAUAGAUAGUCAAUAUAAGGACCCAAGAGCCCUAAAAGGCCAAUUUCCCCCAAAUAAGUUCGAGUGGGCACUUGUCACCUCGCGUACAUGAACUAAAAUCAACAUAGAAGACUCAAAUCCUAAGAGGAAGUCCCCCACACAAGGUUAGGCAAGAUACUUACCUCAAAGACGGCAAACAGAUACUCUAAAAUGCACUCCUCGGGUGAAAAGAUAUCUAGACGGUUCAAAUCUAAUAGAAAAGUGGGUCAUGCGUACGUGUGCACCAUAUUUUUAGAAGACUCUGAAAGGAGGCGUAAGCAGACAGUUUAAUACAGUUCAUUUAAUAUCAAAGCUAAAUAAGUGGCAAUUAGCACAUUAGACCCAAAAAUACAGUAAUAUCAACAAAUAAUAAAGCCAAGUAUGAAUUAUUUUAACAAGAUCGAACUCUAAAUCCUGAAUCAAAGAUUCUGGGUUCAAUCCCCAGUAGAGCCUCCUGAGCUGUCGCACCUCUUUUUUCCAAGGGAAAUAUAAGGAGUUUGUCCAAUUUAAGUGACAUUAAUCGAAUUUGGAUUAUUUAUUUAAUUUUAGAGUCACCACUUGAAAUAAUUUAUGUGUCCCAAGUCAAUGGUUUAUAUUAAAAUUCCAAAUCGAGGAAAUUGACUCUAUUUUUGGUUUGCGAAAAUAGAACUCGGUAAGAAAUUUUAUUAACUUGGGAGAAGGUGCCAGUCAUUCUGCGUUCCAUGGUUUUAGCACUGUUUCUUUAAUCAUACCUGAUUUAGUUACUUGUUUAAAACCUACGUGUAUUUAGCCUUUUACUGCUUUUAAAUUCUGGCUUUUAUGGAUUUACCGUGAAAAUGAAUCACAUGUAUGUGAAUCCAUUUUAUUUGGGGCACUGAAAUUAUGUCACACGAAUAUGUAUACAAUUAGUCGCUUUAUUAAUUUAAAAUUGUUUGGCCAAAGUUGUGCGACCGCAUACUUUGAUUUAUUUUUAGAAAUCGUAACCACAUCAUACGAACGUGUACAUAAUCAUGAUAGUAGAUUAAUUGCGCCCCUAAAAGCAUUUCUAUGAAUAUUUAGUUUUAAAAACCGUAAUCGUGUCACACGAACGUCUAUAUAAUCAUGAUAAUAGCUUAAGUCGUGCCUAAAGCAUUUACGAAUAUUCAUUUUUAAAUUUUUAAUUGUGUCACGCGAACGUGUGCACAUUCUUGCUUAGGAGUGUGCUUAAAGCAUUCUAAAGUAUUAAAGAAUUGUUCAUUUCCUAAGUUUGAGAUUAAUGUGAGGCCAUGAGUUAUGGAAGAUUAUUGUUGGAGAAUUAACCCUUGCAAUCACUUUAGUGACAUACAAUUAUUAAAUAACAAAGCAUUGCAUGUCUUGUUGGGGCCCAAAUUAAUUGAUCUGAUAUUUUAUUUCCAAUUAUCACACAUAUAAAAUUGAAAUACUCAACUAAAAUCCACUGCAUGUUUGAUAUACUCAAACAAACGAAGGCACAAAUAUCUUAUAACCAGAAUAUCCGUGUGGCAAACUUCAGUUGCCUUUAAAGUGGAUUGAUUAAUAAGUGUUAAUUAAGCAUGACUAAUUAAAUCUAAAUAACAAGUACAGAGUAAAGUACAUUAUUCUCCUAAUUAAAUAUGAUUCAAAAACACUAAACUCAUUCAUAGGUUAACAACACAAUUUAAAGUUGUAUAUCAUUCUAAUCACAUAUCCUUAUAAUUUACUUGUAUAGUUCAACUAUCACACAACAAAGAAGAAUCCAGAUUACAAAAUAUUUAGAUCAAUUAAAGAUAAAGAAAAAUCAAAGUAUAUAAAAGCAAGAGAGACAUAUCAUAUGAAACAAAAUUGAAAAUUCAGAUCUCAGGAUUGCCAGCUUCAUGGUGCAGAUGCAAAUAUACCAUAGCUAAAACAAACAUUAUGGAUAAAUCUCAACAUCAACCAUACAUGGAUGAUGACAUUGGUCAUGGAAGCAACAUGUAAUCCGGAUCAUAAGAAAAUACAUAUAGUCAUAGAUACAUACCUAUCAAUCUGAAACCAAUAGGAAAGCCAAAUAUUUCAAACAGCAAGCAGAGUUUGAACGAAUCUCGAACGUAAAUUCAAAGUCCAAAAUCACUCCAUGCUUAAGAACAAAAAUCAAAAAUAGAAAAAGAUGAUUGAAAUAAUUUUUUUCGUUGGUUAAAAAUAGAAAAAGAGAAAUUAGACUAAAAUCUGAAGACUUUCCAAGCCCUAGAAUUUUUUUCUCCCCAAAACAAAUUUCUUCCAAAAAGAAAUCUAAAAACCACCCUUAUAUAGGCCGAUUUAUAAGAAUGGAGGGCCACUCUUAAUCCUACGACUCCCAUUAAUCAUCAAACGUCCAAGAGGGGAGGGACCACGUGAGAGAUGAGGAAAUAUUCGGAUAGUACAAAAUCAGUUAUUUUUCAUGCCAUGUGGAAGGGGAUGAGAGAAUGUACUACGUGAUUGGUUAGGAGGAAUUUUCCAGUGGGUUUGGGUGGUGGUGGCGCGGUAAAAGGUGGAGGAGGAGUGGACGCGCCGUUUAGGAGAUGGGGGAAAUUAGGUUUAGGGUUUUGGGGUGUUAUACUUAAUUUUUAUAUGGUGUUUGGUAGGGGCGUACAUAGGUCGGGUUGGUUCGGAUUUUACAAUUACCAAAUCAAACCAAUUGUGUGGGGUUAUUAAAUCUAAAUACCAAACCAAACCAAUAAAACUCGGAUUUUUCGCUCUCGGUUUUUUCGUGUUUUCGGGUUAUUCUGGUUUUUUCUAAUUUUUUCCAAUAAAAUCUUCAUAGAACAAAAUAUAUAAAUUAUGCUCAUAAUAUUUCUUUAAUCCUAGUAAGAUACAACUAUAGAAAGUAUUUUUCAAGAAAAUAAUACAAAAUAUGAGAUGUGUCAUGGCAUCAUAUUCAAUAACAAAGACAAUAAAAUUAUGUAAUAUCAAUAUUGCUAAUUAAAAAGUCAUAAUAAAAAUAAGCAUAAUUUAAAAGUACUAAGUCAUGCUAAAAUAAGUGGACUAAUAAGGGAAUAUUAACUACAUGACUAAACGCUAAAGAAAACAUAAAAUAGGUUGUGCAUUUUUAUCUAAAUUAUUGCAAAACAAAAAUAGAUAUUCAAUACAUUCUCGGUCAUAGUAUUGAAUUGAAUGUCUUUUUGUUAGCAUUAAUAUUGAUUUGAUUUUGAUUUUACUUUGACUUUUAUUGGCAUUAUUUAAUUUACUUAUGUUAAUGGCUAUAAAACUUAUUGGUUAUAAGUCCAACCUUGAAAUAAAAAGAUAAAAUUAUGAUUCUUUUUAGAAAUAUUUAUAAAUUACAUAACAAUAAAUAUAUUUAUAUAUUAAAUAUAUCUAAAAUUUCUAUAUAUGUAAUGGCGGGUUGGUUUGGUUUCGGUUUGAUUUUCUUUAGUUAAAACCAAACCAAACUAAUUAUGAUCGGGUUUUUUUUUCCAACACCAAACUAUGAUCGGAUUUUUUUUCUCGAUUUGACUCGGAUUGAUGCGAUUUGUCGGCUUCCUUUGUACACCCGUAAUGUUGGGAACUAAUAAGUGUUGUUGGAUUAGAUGAGAUAAAAGGUGCAGAUUAAAAGAGAAACUGCGGUGGGUCAACCAGAUUUAGGGAGUUGGGUUGGGCGAAAUUUGUGAGCAAUUUGGGCUAUUGAGAGCUUCUUAGGCCCAGACUCAAUACAAAACCCAACAAACAACCUUUUUUGUUUUGAUAUUUUUCAAAAUUAACUAAUCAAAUCUAAUUAAACCAACUUUACAACAUUAACCAAAUUACCUAUGUUCCUAAUUGAUCAAUUAUUUCACUAAUUAACUUAUCAAUUAAAACUAAAAUGCUAAACAAGGCAAAACAAACUAACGUAUUUUUGUAUUUUAAUAAUGCAAAUAAAAAUCUAAGAAUGCAAAAAGCAAAAAAGAGAAAAUAGUUUUUGAUCGUUUUCAUGAUUUUAAAUGCUACUAAAACAUGCUAGAAGUGCAAAUGAAUGCCAAAAAUAAAAAAUAAAAAAAUUAGAAUUCUAUAAAAAAGUUACUAAAACUAUUUUUGAAUAUUUUAGAAAUAAUUUCUUAUAUGAGACAAAAAUUAGGUGCUCACACUUUCAACAAUGCUUGCUUACAACAUGGGAGGAGUUUUAUGUAAUUCCAAAGGGGAACGGAUCACCGGCUACCACAACAAAAUACAUGCAUUGACUCUGUUACAAGUAGAAUUACAUGCUCUACAACAAGCUCUCAAAGUAAUUUUGCAGGAGAAUCUACUACCCAUCGAAAUGGAGACGGAUGCAACUUACGCAAUGUGUAUGCUUGAUACAAACUACGAUACUUAUGCAUAUUUAAUUUUACCAUACAAGUGGCUAAUGAGGCAAGCAAUGCAGAAGGGGGAAGUCGUGCUGAAGCAUAAUUUUCGUGAAGGAAACAUGGUGGCAGGAGCUGAAAGCCACUUGACUAUAAGAAGAGGAGCUUAAAACAAAUAUCUUGGGGAAUGGCCUCCACUCUACGAACCUUUUGGCUAAGGAAGCACUUAUAUGGUGUUUUGAUUGACUUAUUGUAAGUAUUUAUUGGCUUUUAAGCACUUUUUAGUUUGUGUGAUGUUUAACAAUGAUAAAAAAGUGCUUAAAAGCAUUUAUUUUUAUACAUAAAAAAUACAAAAAUAAGUCAAAAAUCAAAAGUUAAGUAUCACCAACUUAUAACUUUUAACUUAGAAGUUAUACUUUUUAUAAGCCAAUUGAAAUACCCUCUUAAACAACAGAAAAGCAUAAAUAAGUUAUGUGUUUUUGUUAGACCUCCAAACUACGAGGUGGAUGCCCCACAAAGAUCAGGAAGGUUUUCAUUAUGUAAGAAAUACUUUUACUAGCGUAUGUUGAAAGCUGCCUGCUCUAGGAAAAGAGUUGACUCAGGCUCGGCUCGGCUCGGCUCGGCUCUAGCUAGAUCAUACUUUAAUAAAGUCGGUUGAGCUCGUUUUAGCCUCAACUCGGCUCGAAACUAUAAUAAGCUCGAUAAACGAUAGGCUUGGUUCGAUGCCUAGACCGAGCUCUACUAUAUCGACAAGCAUUGAAUUUUUGGUAAAAAUAAAAUAUUCUCAUUCUCCAAUAAUUGGGAAAAGAGGUUGUCCACAAAAUGGUGUUCCAAUAUAUCGCUGCAAACUUAUGAAGUGGCAAACGCACAUACCAAUUCCUCCAUCCAACAACGGUAAGGACCUGAACAUGAGGAAGUUCCCAUUUUUGCGGCUUUUUGUUUGGGAAAUGAGAAAUACGUCUACACCGCGACUUAUUCAAACAUUCAACAAUCAUAGAUCCACACAAGUGAUACAAGCAUGUUCCGAGAGAGAGUCAGGCGAGUGAUACUGCCCCCAGCCCAGGAGGUAGGUACGUGACAAUGUCACUGCCACCACUGCACUUAUUUUUCCUUAGUAAUUUGAAUGACUGGUAAUUGAUGCAGAAUAUUGAUAAGUUGGAGAAGGUUAUCAAAGAGGGAAAUUACUAUGGAGCUCAACAGAUGUAUAAGUCCACUAGUGCCAGGUUGGUACAAGAUUUUCUUUUUUAUUUAUGAUUGAACUCCCUGUAUUUUGUUAAUAAUAUCCUCCCCCGCACUAUAUUUGUUCCCAGAUAUGUGUCUGCUGAAAGAUACUCUGACGCCUUGAAUGUUCUUCAGUCUGGUGCUUGUUUGCAGUUAGACAAGGCCCAGGUUAUAUUUGUGAUCUCUUUUACUUGUACCAUUUAUUUUGACCACGACCACGACCACUCUUUUAAUAAUUUAACCUUAUCAGGAUUCUUCUUUUAAUUGUAUUGUUGAUCUAGACCCUUCUUGACUUUUUGCAGAUUACCUGUGGGUCAGAGCUUUCUUUGCUGUUUGCUGAAACACUUGCAAAAGCAAAAGUUUCAUAUGACGAAGACACACUAGGUUAGCCGUUUUUAUAUGUUACGGUUAUUUUUCCUGUAUUAUGCAUUUAUGUUUGUAUUGUCAUAAUUUUUUUUCCUAAUUUUGUCAUUAUACAACGGAAGAAAAAUAGAACAAAAUGAAAGAAAAAGAUCCAUAUCGACAAUACCAAUUAGUUGGGAUUAAGGUUUAGUCAUGUUGGUAUGUUCAUUUUUGGUCCAAUGCUAGGAGAAUUUUUUUUCCCAGUAGAAAAAUGUACAGAAUUUCUAAUGUUGGAGAACCUGUACUAUUGAAUAUUGGAAUAAAAUCAGUUCAAAUUGAGCAAAAUGGAUAGUGAAGAUUCAUAUAGUUGAACUCUUCUAUUUUGUGACUAAGGCAUAGUAUUAGUAGUAGUUGUUGUUAUUGCUGUAACCUAAGCACAUAGAAUUAAUCUAGAACAUUCUAACAGAAAACUUCUUACAGAACAUCCUAACAUACAACUGCAUUAAUUCUCUUAAUUUUCAGCAUAUAACAUCUACUGCUUCAUUGCCAUAUAGACUAGAUGCUGUAGAGUGUAGAAUAUGUUCGAAGUUGAAUAGGUGAACAGGUGAUGCCAGGAGCUCUUUGUGUUCAGUUACUAAAGUGGAAAUUCGUAAGGGGAAGAUUUCAAAGAGGAGUGCACGGAGUUCCUCAUUUAGAAUUACGUGGACUAUAUGACAUGGAAUGGAAGAGCCUUGAAGGAGUAGAUGGAUGGGUGAAAAUGGAGAACGUAUCAAAAGGAGGCAUAUUAGUCCUUAUCAAAUCUACUCUAUCUGCCACCAUGGCAUUUUACAAGUUUGUAUCUUAUCCAUCUUUUAAUUAUUUGAGAUUGGAGAAGUUUAAGAGGGAUUCUCUGUGGAAAGAUGAGGAGGAUAAAAGGAAUUAUUGCUUAAUUGGAUGGAAGAAUAUGGUUGUCUCCCACAGAUGUGGCUGAAUUUGGAGUCUUACAAUUAUCCAUUUUCAGGAAAAUGAUGUGGAGGUUUCAAGCGCUGAAGUAGCUUUUACGGAUGAUAUUGCAAGGAAAUAUGGAUGCCAUGGUCAUGUGUGCUGGUCAGUUGGUAUUGCAUGUGUAAAAGGAAUGGAAAAGACGUGGAUCAUUUACUUCUUCAUUGUGAAUUUAUGGCCGGGCUUCCGAAUUUUUUGUAUAUUCACUGUUUAAUGUCACUUGAGUACUCCAACUAUAUGGAGGUAAAUUUUGUGAUCUGGAGAUCAGUAGGAUAGAGAGAGAAGGAAGGUUGCAACGAGCUCCUUUUUGUGUCUCUUGGAUUAUCCGGAGGAAAACGAUGAUGUUUACUUAAAUAGAUGAUCAAGAACUUCUUCUUAUGUUACUGUAUUCUGGUGUAUCCGGUAAACUGAUUCCAUUCUGCUACUAGGGUUCCAAACCUUCCCCUGAGCUCUAGAAUCUAUAAAUACCUUUUCAACUCAAGAAAUGCUAAAGCUAUUUAGAGUUGGUAUUNNNNNNNNNNNNNNNNNNNNNNNNNNNNNNNNNNNNNNNNNNNNNNNNNNNNNNNNNNNNNNNNNNNNNNNNNNNNNNNNNNNNNNNNNNNNNNNNNNNNNNNNNNNNNNNNNNNNNNNNNNNNNNNNNNNNNNNNNNNNNNNNNNNNNNNNNNNNNNNNNNNNNNNNNNNNNNNNNNNNNNNNNNNNNNNNNNNNNNNNNNNNNNNNNNNNNNNNNNNNNNNNNNNNNNNNNNNNNNNNNNNNNNNNNNNNNNNNNNNNNNNNNNNNNNNNNNNNNNNNNNNNNNNNNNNNNNNNNNNNNNNNNNNNNNNNNNNNNNNNNNNNNNNNNNNNNNNNNNNNNNNNNNNNNNNNNNNNNNNNNNNNNNNNNNNNNNNNNNNNNNNNNNNNNNNNNNNNNNNNNNNNNNNNNNNNNNNNNNNNNNNNNNNNNNNNNNNNNNNNNNNNNNNNNNNNNNNNNNNNNNNNNNNNNNNNNNNNNNNNNNNNNNNNNNNNNNNNNNNNNNNNNNNNNNNNNNNNNNNNNNNNNNNNNNNNNNNNNNNNNNNNNNNNNNNNNNNNNNNNNNNNNNNNNNNNNNNNNNNNNNNNNNNNNNNNNNNNNNNNNNNNNNNNNNNNNNNNNNNNNNNNNNNNNNNNNNNNNNNNNNNNNNNNNNNNNNNNNNNNNNNNNNNNNNNNNNNNNNNNNNNNNNNNNNNNNNNNNNNNNNNNNNNNNNNNNNNNNNNNNNNNNNNNNNNNNNNNNNNNNNNNNNUGGACUUGCCCGAAACCAAGGAACCUUGGCGUGAGAACCCUCUAGAUUAGGGAGAUCCAAAUAAGAACUUGUUGCAUAUGCGUAGGAAACCACACCAUGUGGUGUGAGAAAAUCCCACUUGACUUCGGAAUGCCAACCUCCCUUAGCUUAGCCCUUUACGACCUUUUCCGCCUUCUCACUGCCAUUCAUCGGCCAAUGGGAGCAAGAAUUUCCAGGAACAUUUGGAACAGUCCGUUUCGGAGCAGAAGAGCCGUUUUCAAGUAGUGUUCGAUCAAGAGAAUGUUCCCACUUUGUAUAGACAGUUUGAUUGAUUGUUCAGAAGCUGAAUGUGAGACACCCAUAAACCUUCAUAUCAUCUUGAUGCAUAUUAUGAGAUGAUUUUUUUGACUUAUCAAAUAAUGUUAGACAAAACCCAGGAUGCCUCUGAAGAGUAGUUAUUCACUUUGCUAAAUUUUAUUGGCACAAAAGCUAAGUAGAACUGAACUAAAAACUAUUCCAAAGAAUUUCUGCUCCAGAUGGUACUUAUGUAUGGAUAGAAUGCUAAACUGUCAGACUACUAUUUCUACUUUGCAGUGUUGCUAAGGAACUUUUGGAACUUGUUCAUAAAUCUAUUUGGCUUGCAAUGGGUCACUCCUAAUGGUUUAAGGGAUCCCUUCAGCUGCUGCUACAUGUGAAAGGUGCAGACAGACAAAAGAACGCUGUGGCAGUCCAUUCCCGACUGAAUUUUUUGGACUCUAUGGAGCGAAAGAAACAAGAGGUACUUUCAGGGAGAGGCCUCCUCUGUUUCACCUUCGAAAGCAAGAAUUUUGUUGAAUGUACAUAGUUGGGAAAAGUUUUUGGAUGUAAACAAUGUAGACCAACCAUGUUGUAUGGGGUUGAGCGUUGGCCAGUCAAGAAUUCACAUAUCCAGAAAAUGAAAGUAGUAGAAAUAAGGAUGUUGAGAUGGAUGUGCGGGCACACUAGGCUGGAUAAGAUUAGGAAUGAAGAUAUUCGGGAGAGGGUGGGCGUGGCUCCAGUGGACGACAAGAUGCGGGAAGCGCGACUUAGAUGGUUGGGGCACGUGCAGAGGAGAAGCCUAGAUGCCCCGGUUAGGAGGUGUGGGCGGUUGGUUUUGGCAGGUACGAGAAGAAGUAGAGGACGGCCUAAAAAGUAUUAGGGCGAGGUGAUCAGACAGGACAUGACGCGGCUCCAGAUUUUCGAGGACAUGGCUCUUGAUAGGAAGGCGUGGAGGUCGAGUAUUAAUGCUUUAGGUUAAGAGGUAGCCGAAUAGUUUUCCUCUUUGUCCCGGUUUCCCUCUUUGUACCGGCUAGUAUGAUAGUGUUUUAUCUAGCACCACUAGCGGUUUAUGUUGUGUUUCACACUUUUAAAUUAUAUUUGUAUUACUACUUUUUCAUUUAUUUGCUGUCUCUCUCGUUGCUGAUAUUAUUUUAUGGUUUCUGUUGUCACGGAUCUAUCGUCUCUGAGCUGAGGGUCUCCGGGAAACAAUCUCUCUACCCCUCGGGAUAGGGGUAAGGUCCGCGUACACUCUACCCUCCCAGACCCCACUGGUGUAAUUUUACUAGGUUGUUGUUGUUGUUGUUGACUCUAAGUACUACACAAGAGUCAAUUCAUUGUAUAGAUUUGCAUCCUCUGGAUGCCUUUAAGUGCAAGCUUUACUUUAUUAGAAAAAGAAAAAUCCAGAAGAAGCCCAUAAGUAGAAAAUUCAUAUUUCAGAAGUGUAAUUUGUACAAUGAGACAUCAGGAAGAAAACAAACUAAAUAGAUUUUGGUGAUAAAACAUGAUAGCCUUUUAGAUAUUAGAACUGAAAGAAGAGUGUUGUUCCUUAGAAUGACAAGAAAGUGAUACUAGCUCUUCUAAAACUUAAGUAGCCAAUUAAAUCAUAACUUGAUUGUGUUGCCAUAGUUUGAAAGCUAAAUCAAGCUAUGGCGACUCUGUUUUUGUUGUAGUUGUUUUUUCUUUUUCUUUUUUGUUUUUGUUUUCUACUAUUAAUUGAGGAUUCAUAGAGCCGAUUCCGACUUGUUUGAGCUGAGGUAUAGUAGUUGUGGUUGCUGCUAAUUUAAUAAGGGGUUUUAAGUGUUGAGUAGGUGUUUAAUCAAUUUUCCUUAGUUCGUGUCAGGAAAAUUUACAAGAAGUUUCCUCGGCUUUCUGUGCCACAACAUUUGGACCUUGCAGAUGACGAUGACUUGCAAAAAUUUUCUGAAGCCAUUGCCGCAGCCAAAACACGAGUUGAAGGCUGUUCUUCCUUUCUGAAAGCAGCUAUCAAGUUAGAUACUCUUUCCUUUGUUGCAGCCAAUCCACAGAUCUUAUCCAUGUUUAUGCUCUUCUUUGAAAACACGGCUGUUUCAGUUGCUGAAGGGUUUGUAUCCUAGCAGUAUUUGACUAUGUAAAAUGAGAUAAUCUUACACAUAUACCUCUAAAUUCAUAGGGAUAUGGACUGAAGUUAAUAUGUCGUUAUGUGAAUAAGAUUAAUAGGAACUGAACAUAAUACUACAGGAUCCUGGAGUAGCACUGUCUAUAAUUAGAUAUUAAUGGAGCUGGUUGUAUAAUUUUCAUUUAUGCCUUUGAUGCAACAACUUUUUCCUGUGCUUGUGGGAUAUUCCAUUUGACUCACUAGCCAUGCUUCUUUUCAUCCAGAGACAUUAUUUUGAUAAGGAUGUCCAAAUUCUUCAUGGCUCAUGAUUGUAUUGAGUCUUUUGGAUAGGAAUGUUCACUAGAGUCUUAUUCUGUGUUUAGCCCUUCGAUAUAGUAGACUAACAUCAUUGACCCACGUGUUUGUCCUUCUGCAAGCCUUUUAUCUUGUCAGAAGUACUUAUUCCUUUUAUCAUGUAGGAAGGGAUAAAAAAUGAACUAUGCCUUGUUUGUAGGUGGUCAGCAGAAUUUGGUGCGCAUAGAUAUGGAUCUCCAGAGCUGCAUGACAUGCUAGCAGAUUAUAUGUAUUCAGAGUCUCCUGAAGUGGUACAUUAUAGAAGCUGAUGCUCUCUAGUUCUUGGUAAAACAAAGAAAAAGUGAUGUGGUUCUGUUUCAUAGGUCAUUACUUUUUGAUUUUUAAGGGGGGAAAUUAGGCCUCAGAUGACAAAGAUGACUUGUAAAAUUAAUAGCUGCUAAUAGAACUUAUUAUCUUGUUUAACUGCCUUGUGGCACAUCAUUUGGUAGCUUAAGGAAAUCCACUCUUUACAUUUUUUCUUUUUUCAAACUGUCAACAAAUAUGGGUUUUCAUUGAUUAAUGAACCUGACAUUGAUGGGGAUUUUCCUGAAACUUAAGUUAUUUUGACUGAAUUGCAGUCAACAUUGUUGCAUCCCUGCUUUGCAGGACAUUGGUAAAGUAUCUUUUCACUAUGUGAGAGGAAGGAAUCCGAAGAAAUUUGCUUCAGCUCUUGUAAAUUUCAUGGGCAAGGUAAGGUUUGGCUGUUCUUGCUAGUAUAAUAUUUCUGAUAUAUAUUUAUCACUGGACACAUACUAAAAGCUCAAAAAGCUGGAGUUACAUUUUCAAUAUUGACUGCAAGGAAGUCUACCAGGAAUUUGCUUAAGAAGACGGUUUUUUCUAUGUUUUUGUUGCUUUUUGUCAACAUUGACCUAUUAACCACCUGUAUGAUUUAAUUUUAAAUAACUCAUAAUGUUUAACAUGCAGUGUUAUCCUGGAGAGGAUGAUUUGGCUAUUGUACGGGCUAUCCUGAUGUGAGUAUCUUGCAAUAUAGUGUUUAGUACCUUGUAUUUGGUGGUCCUAACUAAGUUAUCCAACUUCUGUGGGUGGACACUCUGAACUUUACACUUCGGCAAACUUAUGUUCAGUCUCCCAAGUCUGUGUUCUCCAUAAAAAUUUUGGGCAUUUACAACUAUCUGUGACUACUACACAUUUAGACUACUGCACACAUAUAGUGGAUGCCUGUAAUGCUUCUGUCUCUCCCCCUCUUCUCCUGACAUCCCAUGAACAGCAGAUUGCAUGUACUCUGUUAUCUGGCUUGAGUUUCUAACUUUUUAUCAGAAUACUGAAAUGGAAAUUUAAUGUAACAGUAACAUAACUGUAAAAAGAAAAAUUGAACAUAGACCUGCAUCCUCAACGAAAUGUUACAAACAGGUCCUCGAACACAAUGCUAAGUGUAAUAUCCAGAUAUAGUAAAAGCAGUAUGUGAUGGCACUGAAAAGCAGUGACUGAGUUGAAACAACAACAACAACAACAACAUCCCAGUAUAAUCCCACUUAGUGGGGUAUAAGUGGGGUUUGGGGAGGGUAGUGUGUACGCAGACCUUACCCCUACCCUUGGGUAGAGAGGCUGNNNNNNNNNNNNNNNNNNNNNNNNNNNNNNNNNNNNNNNNNNNNNNNNNNNNNNNNNNNNNNNNNNNNNNNNNNNNNNNNNNNNNNNNNNNNNNNNNNNNNNNNNNNNNNNNNNNNNNNNNNNNNNNNNNNNNNNNNNNNNNNNNNNNNNNNNNNNNNNNNNNNNNNNNNNNNNNNNNNNNNNNNNNNNNNNNNNNNNNNNNNNNNNNNNNNNNNNNNNNNNNNNNNNNNNNNNNNNNNNNNNNNNNNNNNNNNNNNNNNNNNNNNNNNNNNNNNNNNNNNNNNNNNNNNNNNNNNNNNNNNNNNNNNNNNNNNNNNNNNNNNNNNNNNNNNNNNNNNNNNNNNNNNNNNNNNNNNNNNNNNNNNNNNNNNNNNNNNNNNNNNNNNNNNNNNNNNNNNNNNNNNNNNNNNNNNNNNNNNNNNNNNNNNNNNNNNNNNNNNNNNNNNNNNNNNNNNNNNCAAGAACUACCCACCUUGCUCUUGGGGAGACUCGAACUCACAAGCUCUCGGUUGGAAGUGGGGGUUGCUUACCAUCAGAGCAACCCCUCUUGUCUGAGUUGAAAGAACAUUAAAAACAAGAAUAAAAGGAGAAAGAAAGAGAGAAAAAAGGGCUGUGAGGUGGGGAAUCAGCACUAACUUUGAACCAGCAGACCUUCUGCAGCUUCUUCUUUGAAGUUCCAGGUUUUUCCUUCCCCUGUUCCUCCACUCUUUCUUCUUUUUCAUCUUCAUAUAUGGUUCUACUUGUCCUUUAAAUAAGGUUCUCUACUCCUUCUAACCAGGUUCUCCUACUUCUUCAAAAAUUCAAGUAUCAGUUCUUAGUCGUACGGUCGCCAUAUGUUACUAAAGCAGUAAUGAUUUUCUACUAAAUAAAAAGAACACAAUUAAAAAAGAAAAAUAGUAAAACAGUAGCAAUGUUUCUAAGGUUUAGGUUUUUAUCCCUGUAUUUCUCUCUAUUUAUUCUAUAACCGCAAAUAUUUAUUCUUUUGAAGAUUUUAUUUGGUCCUAGUGUUGCACAAUCGUGCCAAUCCAAAAGAUGAAAAAUGAAAAAAAUACUAUUACACAAAUGUUGCAGCAUGUAUCCUGGCCGUGUUUGUGUGCGAGAAAUGUCUUAGUCAAACAGGUACCUUAAAUUUGGUGUCUCUGCUUCAUAGGCAGCUCCAACAGUAAUUUGCCGCAUUCUAGUAAAGAAAAUGUAAUGAGAAGCCUUUGGGUUGCCUGGUAGUGCAGCUACCUGCAUGCUCUCUUUGUUUUAAAGAAACUAUUAGUUCGGUUAAGCUGUACAUUCUCCAUGAAAAUAAUUUGGGAUGAAAUGAAAUUCAAAUUGGCCUAUGUACUAAAACGCUGAUACAAGAACGUAUAUCCACACCCUGUUUCAAAAUGGGACCAAUACAGUUGCUGGUGAGUGGUGACACGUGAUUAUCUUUGAUACGAAGGUUGAUCCAAUGGUUCUAUAGUUGUCUGUUUGGUUUGGCAGGUACUUGUCUCUAGGAAACCUAAGAGAUGCUAACAAGCUCAUGGAUGAGGUGAAAAUGGAAGUGGAGUUGAAGAAUCUUAACUUUCCUAGCUCAGAACUAACCCAGUUUGUGAACUAUCUCCUCCUGACGUAAGUUCCAAUCAUGCUUGGAACACUAAUUGAUUUUUCAAGUGUUGAAAGUAAAAUUUCUUCUCUGCUUCCUUCUGAAACUAUUAAGCUGUCAUUCACAGUUCACAAACUCAAGUCAUGAUACAGGUUGCAAAGGGACGCUUUACCUCUGUUUAAUAUGUUGAGACAAACCUACAAGUCUAGUAUAGAUAGAGAAUCCACAUUUAAUGAGGUGAGUUUCCAUCUCUAAUUGAGAUAUUUCCGUACGUUUCUUAUAUCAUUUCACAUGUUUCUCUUUAUAGCUAUUGUGAUGCAUAAAAGGAAAGACUUCUCUUUCAGAUUAAUGUGAUGGUUUUCCUCCUAAUCUUUAGUGUUUUUGUGGUUUAGUUGCUAGAUGAAAUUGCAGAGAAGUUCUAUGGCGUUCGACGUAGAAAUCCUCUCGAGGGGAUUGGAGAUUUCUUCAAGGUAAUGGUAUUCUCACAUAGGCAGCUAGGCAAAAUCCUAAUAGUUCGUCUGGAAAAAGUACGUGGUUUUGUUUGCAGAACAUAAUCCCCCAGGUACACUUGAAAUACUUCCUUGAAAUAUACACAUCGUCCCUGAAAUAAUUUACUAACGUGAAUGGGUUUGGUUUUCCUUACUAAUCAAUGAGAAGUGAACUUUCACUUGCUCAAAACUGGUAAAUAGCGAUCAAAAUCCAUUACACCUCCAAACCACUAACUCUAUGGCAGAGUGUUUUGACCAGCAUUGGCGAUAGUUGUACCAAAGUGAAGCACAUAUUAGUUUGGUGGAACGCAAACAGUUAUUUUAGUCCAUAUAUUUAGAGGAGUGAGGUGCAUAGUUUUGACCAUAGUGGUAUUGAGUUGUAACGAAAACACAAGUGUGAUUAGCCCGAUGGUGAAAUGCCAUUUAUGUAUGUAGGAACUUUUAACCUUUUUCAUGUUCAAUUCAAAAUUUUAGUUGGUGCUUGAAACGCUUUUUAAUGUUGCAGAUGAUGGGAGGCGAAUAGGAUGCGACACAAAUCUCUUCAAUAUGAUGUGAGCUCCAUCAAAAUUGUGCAUUCUGCUCCUUUGCGUUCAGAAGGAAGACUCAACCUCAAUUAUGCGUUCUUCUGGUUGGCUUAGUAAUGGAGCAAAUUUCUUUUUCUAAUCAAUAUUCUAUUACCCCCGCGCCAUUGUGUUGUAUUAGAAGUGGUUAUUUUGAUAUGAGAAUAAACGGGUUCAGAAUGUGAGAAUUUUUUAAGAUGCAGUAUCUGAAAAUUAGAAUGUAAAAACGAACUUGAAAUCAAAAUGUGCUCAUCUUCGUGCUUUAUUUCCUCGAAAUUUUUUGGAGUUAGUAGUGUGUGUUUAUGAAGAGACUGAUACCCAGAGGCCAGCACUAAGAUAAGAUAUUAAGUCAUCUGCAAUAUUAGUUAUGUGAUAUCUCAAAUUUAGACCUUUUGGAUGACAUUAAUUAAUUACUGAAUUUAACAGUUGCGACGGUUUGUUUUCCAUUAAGAUAUUAGGUCGUUUGCAAAUGGACUGAAACGUUCUUAGGUGGUCAAAAUACAAGGGGAGGGAAGGAACCAAUUCGGAGGAAAAUAUUUUCCAAUUUUUUCAUGUUUGGUUGGUAUAAAUAUUUUCUUUACGAACUCAUUUUCUUUCAAUUGGAAGAAGAUAUUAGAAAAAUAUUUUUCAAAAUUCCUUCUCAACUUUCCCUACCCUUCCAAUCCACCCCAUCCCCUCUCUCCAAAAAAGGUUUCUUUUUCAAAUUCUAAUUUUUCCGUUACCACCCACUCUCAAAUAUCUUUUUAUUACAAUUUCAAUUUUUUAUUUUUCGUUUUUUUGCACUACCAACUCUCCCAACUGCGUCUGUCCCCCUUGUUAUUACGUUUCUUUUCAUAAGCUUAUUUCUAUUUAUUGUCGUAAAAAUUUACUGUUUAAAAUAUUUAGUGUUUAGAUGAAAGAUUAAGGGUUUCAAAAAGUAACAUUCAAACGUUUCAAACCUUAAAUAUCUUUCGUAAAUUUCAACAGUUACAAUGACUUUUUGAUUUAGUGCUUAGUGGGCUAUUAAAUAUAGUGAGUGAGACUUUAUUAAACAACAAAUAUAUAAAAUGAAUGAGAUGAAUAUUGAAAAAAUUGCCACAAGAAGGAAAAAAAAAGAAGAUAAAUGGCAAUCCUAGUCUAAGAGAGGUGUCAAGUCAUCUUCUUCAUUUCCUCUUAUAUAUAUAUAUUCAUCAGAGACAUUAUUUUGAUAAGGAUGUCCAAAUUCUUCAUGGCUCAUGAUUGUAUUGAGUCUUUUGGAUAGGAAUGUUCACUAGAGUCUUAUUCUGUGUUUAGCCCUUCGAUAUAGUAGACUAACAUCAUUGACCCACGUGUUUGUCCUUCUGCAAGCCUUUUAUCUUGUCAGAAGUACUUAUUCCUUUUAUCAUGUAGGAAGGGAUAAAAAAUGAACUAUGCCUUGUUUGUAGGUGGUCAGCAGAAUUUGGUGCGCAUAGAUAUGGAUCUCCAGAGCUGCAUAUCAAUAUCACAUACCAAAAACUUUCUAACAACUUCAGUUUCUAAGAUUAGUGCCCAAAAUACAUCAUUUGUAAAUAUUGGAGGAACUGCUAGUAUGAUGCUGGACUUUGCUGUCUCUUUCGCCAGUACAUCAAACACAAAAAAAUAAAUAACAUUAUUACUUAUUUUCUAAUAAAAUAUAUUUAAUGAGAAAUAUUUUUUGUUAUACCAAACACACCUUAAGUUUGAUAAUUGAAACCUCUAAUGUACACGUUAUAAAUGUGCAUUGAACAUUAAAAGAAAUCAAUAGUUGAGUGCACAUAAAUUUGCUGAGGUAAAAUAUAUGCGAAACUAGUUAGGAUAACAACGGUUACUUAGAGCCGUUAAUAUGAGUUUGACCCAUUGGACCGGCCUAGCCCAGUCCAACUCGUGAUUUAGUAGGGCUUGGCUAGAAUUUUUAUAGCUCAUUAAAAAAAGAGAUUUUAAGUCCGGUUCGAGUAAGCCCGUGGACCGUGAGAUUUGAUUGAAGUAGGAUUGAGCCGGCCCGUGGACCUAAUAAAAAUAUAUAUUUGAAAUAUAUAUAAGAAAAAUUAUACGAUACAAAAAAUAUCAAGAAGAGUAUCCAAGCUUAAAGUUUAUUAAGUUCAUCAUAUUAAAAGAUUAAAGUCUUAAAACGUUAAUUAUUUUUAGAAUUUUAAUUAUUCUUAAUAUUUAACUAAUUAAUAUUGCAUACGAAUUGUAGAUGUAGAUGAAAAUAAAGAUAUUACGACAACCUUCUCACAAGCAGAUUCAAAUGUGUUUGAUGAAAAUAACGUUAGAUAAUCCGUAAUCAUCAUGGACAUUCUCUUAAAUAAUUUGUUUUGAGUUUUAACUUUUAGUGAAAGAAAUAUUAGUGUUGUCUUUUACUUUUAGUGAAAGACGAGAGGAAAUUAAUGUGAGAGAAAAGAUUGAGAGAGAAAAUUUGAUAAAAUUUAUUGCUUUUUUGUUUUUAUUUUUCAUCACUGUUGCCUGGAUGAACCAUAUGCAAAACCUUUAAGCCAGCAUUUUAUCACCAAAACUCAUUAAGAAAAAAUCACAAUUUCAGAAACAAAAAUCACCACCCUCUGAGAGAAAAAUCAGAAAGCAGCAAAUAACUAUUAUAGUGAUUGAAAUCUGACUCGCUUUUUUCUAGUAAAUCAACAAAGAAUUUGAACAAAUCAAAAAGCAAUGAACACUGUUGCUUUUCAGUUUCUUAUUACCCAUUCAUACUCCAAAAAUCAAUCCUGAUCUCUUCCAUCAUCUUUGAUCCGAUGAAUUUAUUUUAUGAUAACAUAUAUUGACUUUUCUGUAAUAUAGAGUUUUUGAGUGUGAUUAAUGGUUAAAAAUUGAAGAGUAGUCAAAUAUGUAGGCUUAAUAUGAAGUUUUUGAGUUUGAUUUAUCAAAAUUUUAGUUAUGGCUUUAAUUAAGUAUAAAAGGGGAAAAGACGGGAAAAGACAAAUUGAGGGGGGUGGCUUUUUUCUUAAUCUGACCCGAAUUUUUCUAUUUUUUAAAUCAAUUAUUUAUCUUCCUUUUUUAAUUAUUUUACACAUUCACACGCUUAAUACAUGCGAUUAACACACAACCGGUCACAUCAGUUAUAAUAUUUUUAAAUAAACAUAGUCAUCAGUCAAAAGUGUUUAUUAGUAGACAUUUUCUCAAGUAGAGGUGUUCAAAUGGGAAAAUUUAAAGUUCGUGUAUCGGCUUUCAAAAACUUUACAAAUUUAAGUGGCCAGAAAGUCAUUUCGCCUAAUUGUUAUCACUACCAAUCACCACUAACUACUACUCUAAACUACCACCAUCAACCAAAUCUACCACCAACCACCGCUUUUUGCCAGCAUCCACAAGCACUACCUUUAGCUAUCACCACAAACAACUAUCAUAUUUUAAAAGUUAUAUAUUUUAUUGAUAAAAUAUUAAAUUAAUUAAUUUAUUUAAAUUUUAUGUUUAUUAAUUUUUAAAUAAAUUUAAAUUUUAUACAUUCAGAUGUAAAAGAUCAAACGUCUUAAUCAUUUAGUAUUAAGAUCUUAAUAUCUAUAUGUGUAUUCAAAUUCAAACGUCUUAAUCUUAAUACACAUCUUGAUAUUCAGGCGUAUAUUCAGAUUAGAAAUUUUAAUCUUAAAAAUAAAAUAAAAUAAGGCCUUAGUCUUCACUCAUGUUAAUUUUUUCUCUUUUUUAUAUUUAAUUUGCUUUUAAAUAGUAAUUUGGUUAAGUAUGCUCCGUUAAAUUAUAGAGGGGAGACUCAAACUGGAAUAUAGUUGUAACUUACAUUCUAUUUGGAUCAUUGUUCCCCAUCAUUUUAUAAUACAUUGUAUUGUAUCGUAUUGUAUUAUAUCGUUUUAUGAAUAUAAUGUUUGAAUAGAUUGUAUUAUUUUUUAUUGUUAAAUAAUAUUUUGAUGUUUUGUUUGACUAUAUCGUACUGCACUGUAGUUGAUAAGUUUAUAAAAUACCCUCAAUUAUUUAAAUACUGAAUUUACCAAAAAAUAUGCAUAAAAAUAAUUUUAAAAAAUAAAAAAGAAGGCGAAACACCUUAAGAAAGUAGAACAAAUGAGUGAGACAGAAGAAGGUAAAACAAAGAAGCACAACUAAUUACAAUUGAGUUAAAAUCAAACUAGAAGAAAAAAAUAAAAUAGAAGACGAAAAAACACCUAUAACGUUGGCGGCAUAAGUUUUGAAAAAAAUUAAGUAGUUUAUAGGUUGGAGAUUUGGAGUUAAAUAGCAAAAAAAAAACUUACAUAUUUAUCGAGGUAUAAUAAUCUUUGAGCUAAAUUUAAACCGAUCUGAUGUGAUCUCGGUUGUUGUGAACCUUGAGUAUGGAUUGAAAUGAGAGUGGAGUCUCGAACUAUAAGUUUUUGGCCCUUAAGUCUUUCGAAGUUGGCCCAUGGGAUGUUCUAUAUCGGCUAUUAGGGUCAUUUAGGAUUGGCCCUUAGGCUCUUUAAGUUGGUCGUUUCAGCCUUUAAAAUGGUUAUGUAAUUUUCCCCUCAUUUCGGCUAAAAGACUUAGUGAAAAUUUAGUUAUGCCAUAACAUGUGUUUUUUGUACUCGUUGGGGUUUUUCGAAGGUUAGACGUAUCAGAACCUUGUUGGUUAUUUGUUUGUGUAAACAUAAUUGAAUACCUCUUGAGGUAUUUUUGAAGGCCGAUUUUAUCGCAGCCCUUGUAUUUAUUGAGGGAUGGAUUUUUUUAGGCCCUCAGAUUUUUCGGGGGCUGAACUUAUCGAAGCUCUUCAUAUUUUGCUUUUGCCGAGAUAGCCUAUUUUAAUCGAUUUUUCAAUAGUUGAAGACCUUUAAUUUAUAGCAGAAGUCAGACGUCUCCAGCCAUGUUAUUUUGUGCAUAGCCUUUAUAUGACCAUAGUCUUUAGUGUGGCCGUAGCCUUCGGGUACGUCACUUGAACUUGUUUCCAGAUAACUUUUCUAAAACUGUUCAAAAAAUUAGUCUCUGAGUAUAUUGGCCUUGGCCUUUGUUUCGAGGGGUGCCUCUUUUAGGUAUUAUAAGUCCAAAUUUUUGAUGACCCGUAUAUAUUGAAUGUUAGUGACAGUCCUCGAGUAUUUCGAGGUGCUUUUCCCCUUCAGUCGUUUCCCGUAGGAUUGUAAGUAUAGAGCUUGUAUGAUAGUAAACUUCUUUGAGACACCAGGUGUUUUUUAUAUAACCGGAAUUGCCAUUUAAAUACUCGAUAUAUGCGUACAUGUUUUGCCGUCGGGGCUCGACUAUUCUAUAUGGACAAGGUUCAUUUGACUGUUUAACCCAUUACAAAGUUCUCCUAUAGAGGCCCUCUUAGGCGUGAAGUAUAUUACAAAAAUAUAGCCUCCGAUGGUGAUGGCCCCCAAUAUUCGAGGUUUAUUGAAAAGAAGCCUUGGAUACUAUUGAGUUUUCCUUAGGUAUCUCCUAAUUGUUGCCUCGAUAAAAACCUUGUCGGUAAAACCCAUUUGGGACAAAAUCCGGUCUAAGGGAAAAAGAACGCAAUGCACGAUUUAAAAUCUAGGGUCUCCAUGUAGAAAAUAAUGCCUCUGAGAUUGUGUACCAUCGAUCCAAAAUAUGUAAUGAGUUAGCUUUAAACUCAACUAGACAAAAGGAUAAAAGCGUACCUUAGCUGUGAUAUCGAGGAUGACUUUUCGUAGAACUAAGUCCUUGACUCUGAAAUGUUGGAGGUUGAUCCUUUGCUUUUACACGGCCAUUCGAACAAGUGUUGUUUCUCGUUCUUCAUCCGCCAUCGAAGUAUAAAUAAAAAGCAGGCUCUGUAGAAAUCGCUAUAAUUCUUCUGACAUCCCGGGGUCCAUGCGAAACCCUUUUCCUUUUGAGCGAAGAGAAAGAAUUGGUGACUUCGAUCUGACAACCUUGGAAAGAGUCGACCCGAGGUAGCCAUUUGACUUGUUUGCCUUUGCAUGGCCUCUAUGCUAUCCUUGAUCGUGAUACCUGUAAUAGCCUUGUUUCGGUGCCACGAUUUCAUGUCGCGACAUCGAGGGACUUACCUGUGCCAACCCCGAAGGCACAUUUCUCCAAGCUAAGCUUCAUGUUGUAUUUCCUCAAGAUAGCAAAUAUUUCCUAUAAAUGAACCAAAUUUUCCUCUGCGCAUAGGGACUUAAUCAACAUGUCAUCAAUAAAUUUCCAUUUUUGUCCUAAUCAUUAUUCGAACAUUUAAUUAACUAGGCGCUGAUACGUGGCUCCUGCAUUUUUUAGCCCAAAGGGCAUUACAUUAUAGCAAUAUAUAAUAUACUUUGUGAUGAACGAAGUCUUCCUUUGGUCCUCCGGGUUUAUUUGAAUCUGAUUAUACCCAGAGUAGGCAUCGAGAAAGGUAAGGAUCUCGUGGCUAGCUGUAGCAUCAAUCAACUGAUCGAGGUUGGGCAGUGGGAAAGAAUCUUUAGGGCAUGCUUUGUUCAAAUUCUUGUGGUCUACACAUAUUAUAAUUUUAUUCCCCUUGUAGUCUCCUCUUUUGCUUCAUCGACUUAAACCCGUGAUCGACACUUAGUCGAUGGGUAGUUAUCUCCGGUGGGAUCCCUGUCAUAUCUAAGUUGGACUAGGCAAAGCAAUCAAUGUUAUCGAUAAGAAAUUGAAUGAGUUUUUUCCUAAGUUCGGGGGUUAACCCCAUCCCUAGGUAUACCUUUUGUUCUCGAAGAUGUUAUUGAUCAAUAUGGCUUGCUCGAGUUAUUCAACUGUGGACAUCAUCACAUCCAAUUCUUCGGGGUCAACGAAGGCUCGAGGGUGAGGAAAUCUUCCUCUUUUUCCUCGACCACCUAUUCAUCGAUCACCUGUCCUCGGGCUCAACCGAGGAUAUGGGAUGUAAUUCUAUUUUAUGACCUAUUUUUCCUUUGACUUCUUCGAUGUGGAUGGUGUCAACACCGGUGCCAAGUCAUGUACUACAAAUACUUCCUUAGCUGCAUGUUGCUCUCCACAUACUGUUUUCACGCCAGACUUUGUUGAAAACUUCAUUAUUUGAUGAAGGGUUGAUGGAAUUACCCUCAUGUUACGGAUUCAUGGCCUUCCAAGUAAAUCAUUAUGCCUCAUAUCUCCUCCAAUGACAUGAAACUUAGCGUCUUGUAUGGUUCCGUCCAUAUUAACUAGGAGGAUAAUUUCCCCCUUCGCCGUUUAACUUGGCAUGUUGAAUUCAUUCAAGACACGAGAGGCAGGUAUGAUUUGGUCAAGUAGCACAAGUUGCUCCACGGCCCUUGAUCUAAUUAUAUUUGCUGAGCUACCCGGAUCCACGAGAACACGUUUAACUUGAGCUUUAUGUAAAAGGAGAGAAAUUACUAGUGCAUCGUUGUGAGAUUGAGAUAAGGCCUCGAUGUCUUCCUCCCUGAAUGUGAGGUUAUCCUCGGGCAUGUAGUCCCAAGUCUGCUUCUCCAUUUUGAUAGAUAAUUUGGUACGUUUGAAUAUGGGUCCAUAUGGGACGUCGACUACUCCGAUAAUCAUGUGAAUGACAUGUAGGGGUUCUUCGGGCUCAUUCUUCCUCUUUGCAUCUCCUUCUUAGAAAUGGUUCUUUGCCUGGUUGCUGAGAAAUUCGCGAAGAUGUCCUUCGUUGAACAACCGAGCUACCCCCUAUCUAAGCUACCAGCAAUCCUCGGUCAUAUGCCCAUGAGUACCAUGAUAUUUGCAGAUCAAGUUGGGGUUCCUCUAAGAAGGAUCAGUAUGCAUAGGCUUGGGCCAUCUAGUAUCUCUAAUUUUUCCAAUGGACGAGAUGAUCCUUGAGGAAUCAACGUUGAAGUUGUACUCCAAGAAUCGGGGUGUCUAUGCCAGUCUGAAGUGCCUAUCGAACCCGGUUUUGCUCAUGAGUCCCCGGGAACUUCGACCUCAAUCUGCUCUUCGAUAAUUCCAAGGUAUGUUACGCCUUGAAAUGUUCCUUCGAUCUUGACCCCCUAUCUACAUUUCCUAACUUUUUUUGCUAGUAACUUGCUUGGAUAAACUAAUCCCGAGGGGGCUCCCAACUGGUCAUCCUCGACCCUAAUUUUUGAUUGGUAUCUGUUAUGCAUAUUCGUCCAAGUCAUAGUAGGAUACUCAACCAGUUUCUGCUUUAACUGUUUCAAAGCUAUUGAGCUUUGUUCAUUUAGCCCCUGAGUGAAGGCUUGUUCCGUCCACUCAGCAGAGACUAGUGGUAACUCUAUUUGUUCUUAUUGGAAAUGGGAUAGAAACUCCCUCAGCAUCUCGUUCUCCUGUUGCUUUAUCUUUCCUUGUUUAAACUUUUAUGGCACCAGCAUGUGCCUUCAUAAAUGCGUCUGCCAACAUGGCAAACAAAUUAAUAGAGUUAGGGGGUAGGUUAUGGUACCAAAUCAUGGUACCUUUAGACAGAGUUUCCCCAAACUUUUUUAACAAAAAAGAUUCAAACUCAACGUCUUCCAAAUCAUUUCUUUUUAUGCCAUAAGUAUAUGUGGUGAUGUGCUCGUUAUGAUCAAUGUUUUCAUUGUAUUUCGGGACAUCUGACAUCCAAAACUUCUUUGGAAUGGGCUUUGCAGCCACACUCUGGGGAAAUGGUUUUUGCACAAACUUCUUCGAGUCCAGUCCUUUCAAAAUCGGAGGUGCUCCCGGAAUUUGGUCGACCCUUGAGUUAUAUGUCUCCACAUGUUUGUUAUUUUCUUCAAUCUUCUUUUCUCCGGUCUCGAUCCUCUUGGCAAGCUCUUUGAGCUUUUAUAUAAUCGUGGGGUCAGUCCCCGAGCCACUUUUAUUGGGCCUCUUUACCGCUGGCUCAACACGUUGAGUGUUCACUAGUUCGACUGUGUUUGGAGUUCUGUUCUGACUCUGAAGUUGAGUGAUGUCAACUUGCUGGGCUUGCAACAUUUUGGAUAUCAGAUGGAGGCUGACUCCUCCUUCAAUUCCUUAUGUUCUUUGGUCAUCAGACCGGGAAGCCCACGCGCAUUCCCUACGGGGUCUGCACCUGAAUCCGCAUUUAGAGCGUUAUGCGUGCUGAUAUCCAUCGGUUCCAUAUUUGGAACUUCCUCGGGGUUUAUGGGUGGUACACUGACCCCUAUACCGUUAUUUUCGCCAAGACCUUCGUCCUUCGUGAAUAGAUGCAUUCUGUGUGCUAGACAUGUUUAAUUUUGAAAUCAAAGAAUCUUUGACAAGAAAAAGUGAAGAAUAACGUGUGUUAUCAGAAAACUAGCACUAAUAUAAUCAAUAUUAUCUUUAUCCCCACGGUGGAUGCCAAAUUGUUUACCUUGAAAAAUGUGAGUAACAAUCAAAGAUAAUUUGUGGCUUUAAAGAUAUGUAAUUUAUUCCUAUACUAGUGAAUAUACAAGUAAUACUAAGCUUAAGUAAGAGAAAUUGAUGAGCCAAACCAGUAUUGUUAGAGAAAUAGUGGCCUCGAGCUCAAUUAUCUCAAGGGCCUCGAGGUGUGCUAAGAAUAAUAAAGUAUGAACAAUAAAAUAAAAAGGUAUAAUACACUUUUUACCCAUCCACUUUCUACCCAAAUCCAUGUUACACACAUGCUGACCACGGGUUUAAUAUUACACACCAAACCUUUCAAAGUGUGCCAAUGACACACCACUUUGGGUGCAAGGUGGAUGGGUAAACUAUGUAUAAAAAUGAUAAAGCUCAAGAACGAUUGUUGAGCACGGUAAACGAGAAAAGCAGCGUAGAAUAUUCUAUUGCAGUGAAUGAUAUCUUAUUUGCAAAUAAUUGGGGUCCCCUUUAUAUAGGAGGGGGAAAUCCCAAUAUAGUACACUCAUUGUGGUAAUGAAUUCUGUUGGUACAUAUGUAUAACAACCUGGUACGAACCUGUACCAUUUCGUACAAAUUUAUCCUUUAAUUUAUGCCCUGAUCCACGUGUCUUUGAAAAAUUUCCGCUCUUUCUUGAGUGCCAUCGAAAUUGUACUGCCCUCGAUGUAGGUCGUACUAGACCUUCGAUUUGCUCCCUUGAGGUGUGUGUCCUUCAACCGUGUCCGAAACCCACUUCGAGUCACCCGAACUCGGACUCAUAAUCCAAUUUAAGACUUCGAAAUGAGGCUCCUUAAUUUUGACCGUAUACAUAACUAUUGUUGCGGGCUUGGAUCUAAAAUGCAUCAAACGGAUGUACAGACCACCUUCUCAUCGGAGAACUAAGUGAAAUUUUUUUGUAGAAUAAUUUAAAUGUUUCAUCCAAAAGGUCACAAACAUACGAUUUAUAUACUUUUAUAUCUUGUUAUGAUUUUCAAAGCAGUGGUACAUACAUGCUCUUAGUGUGGUCACUUGUAAUUUCUCUACAAUGAUUCAUGAGAGGUUGUGUUUAUUCUAAAAAGAUUAGAGAAUAAUUUUGUAGUUAUAUCAUUAUAUGUUGAUGACAGCGAAAACAUAAUUUGAAGUAUAUAAAUAAGAUAAAGACUUUAUUAUCGUCUCACUUAGAGAUGAAAGAUAGAGUUAAUACCUGAUUUCAGGAAAAUAUUUAAAGAAAUUAUUAUAUCUGAUUCAAAAUUUUGACCAUAUCAGAAUUCCAAUCAACAAAGAUAAUAUGCCAAGACUUUGUCAUAAGACUCCAAAAUAAGAGAAACAAAUGAAUAGAUUUACUUAAGCUAUUGUGGCUGGUAGUCUAAUGCAAGAUACUCUUAUUAGACUCGAUAUAUGUUUCGCAAUUGGCCCGUAAACAAAUAUAAAAUCAACCUAGAGCACGUAUUUUUGUUCAUGCAAGAUAUCAAGGACUGUGUGGGAUUUAAUAUAGAGUCAUUAGUUGUUUAUUUAUUUUCUUGACGUUCAUGUUGAUUUUUUUUUUUUUUUUGAAAAUCAAAAUAAGUUUGUUUUGUACACAUUUAUUAUCUGAAUGUUUGUACAUCUUUAUUUUGAAUGCUUAGCAUACAUUCAUAUGUGAAAUACUUUCGGUGAAUGCUUUUGAUAAAAAAGAGGAAAAAACAUAAGUAGGCAAUAGUUAGGAAAAAAGCUCAGAUACCUAGCAGAAAUAGGUAUUUUACAAAACAGGCAGCUAAAUAAUUAUAAUCUUAGCAGCAAGCUAUAAAUAUGGACCUAGAAUCACGUUUCAAAAAAUUCAAAGCAUUCAAUUCCUAGAAAAAUAUGCAGUUCCGAUUCUCCUUAAGUGAAUACACUUCCUAAAGAGAUUAAUGCAUUUUAUGUUGCUACUUGGAUAUAAGAGAUUAAUGGACUCUAUUAUAUUUUGAAAAUAUAUCGUACAUUUAUUUUCGAUUUUUUUAUGUAUCUUGUUGCUGAUUAAUACGAUCGCACAAGUUUUUGUCAAACGAUAUCAAAUGAAAUGAUAAAAUUAUACUCUUAUAUCUAUUGGUAUAAAUUUUAUUUUAAUUGUAUGUCAAGAUAAAUUUUACAUUGUAUAAUGAUGGUAUUAAAUAGUUUUUAAAUUAUAAUAGUAUUUUUAGUAUAUUAAUAUACAGAGUACAAGGAAUCCCUCAGCCAUUAUAUGUAUAUAUAUUGUGUUUUAUGGAAUAAUAGCAGAUAACUAAACAAUAUAUAUGAAUGCGGGAAGCAAGACUCAGAUGGUUCGAGCACAUUCAAAGGAGGAGCACUGAUACAUCAGUGAGAAGGUGUGAGCGACUGGCUGCGGUGGGUACGAGGAGAGGUAGAGGGAGAACUAAGAAGUAUUGGGGAGAGGUGACUAGGCGGGAUAUGGUGCGACUUAGGAUUACUGAGGACAUGGCCCUUGAUAGGGAAUUGUGGAGGUCGAGCAUUAAGGUUUUUGGUUAGGUGAAGUUGUGGAUAUUUUUACAUCAUAUUAGAGUGAGACUAGCCAGUUAGGAGUUAGUCUUAGGAUGAUAUCAGCUAAUAAUGCAGGGCUUUAUCUAUUGGAUAUUAGUAAACCUUACAUCCUUUUCUUUUUCUCUUUCUUCUUCUUUUUCUUCUUCUUUUUUCGUAUUUCCUAUAAUUUUUAUAUGGAUGUUAUUUUGUUAUUUUAUGUUAUUAUAUGUUAUAUAUUGUAUGUUAUUUUAUGUUAUUUAUUAUAAUUCUAUUGAUAGUACUAAUAUACCUGCAGGUCUUUAUCUGUUGGAUAUUAGUAUACCUUCCAGCUUUUUUGUAUUUUCUAUAUUUCUUAUAUUGUUGUUAUUUUUUAUUUUAUAUUAUGUUAUGUAUUUUAUGUUAUUUUAUUAUGAGUCUAUUGAUAGUACUAAUANNNNNNNNNNNNNNNNNNNNNNNNNNNNNNNNNNNNNNNNNNNNNNNNNNNNNNNNNNNNNNNNNNNNNNNNNNNNNNNNNNNNNNNNNNNNAAAAUGAGUCUAUUGAUAGUACUAAUAUAUCGUCUCUUGUUGCUUUCUUGAGCCGAGGGUCUCCUGGAAACAACAUCUCUGCCCCCCGGGGUAGGGGUAAGGUCUGCGUACAUAUUACCCUCCCCAAAUCUCACUUAUGAAAUUAUACUGAGUUGUUGUUGUAUAUAAAUACUCAAAGUACUACAAAUAUUCAAAGAAUAUUUGCAUACUAAAUUAAAGGAAAGAAAUUUAGAAUAGAAAAAAAGAGAGAUAUGAAUGCUAAAUCAAGCAACUAAAAUAAAAUAGAAAAUAGUAGGAGAGAGAAUGUAAAAAGAUAAAUAAAGAUAAAACGUACUCAUAAUCUUCAUCAUGUGCUAAUAUUAUAAAAGAAUAUGCUAUAUAUGGAAUAAACAAAAAUUGAUAUCAUUUCUUCAAUACUUUUUGAAAGAUGCUCGGUAAUGUAAGUAUGCUGGGUCGGAUAGAAGUCUUCUUCUCACCGAGAUGACCGCCUCCAUCAAUUUAGUAUUGACGGGAGAGGAGACAAGAUCUCUCGAUGGAUAAUUUGAGAGCACAUAGCUUUAAAAAGUACCCAUCAGUGAAAAAGAUUCAAUUUUUAGUAUUUUUAAAAAAAGUCAACCCCAAACUGCUUGGUCAAAACUCGAGAUUCGCACCAAUAUCCAAUUACUUAUUCAUGCCCGAACCCUGUUAUGUGAUUAGCUUCAAAAUUCGACCUCAACUUGAGGUCUAAAUUCCAAUUUCUCAUAAUCUCCAAUUUCUAUCAAAAUCUCCAAUUUCUACCAUGAAAAAAUGUAUAUUAAAGCUUAAAAUCAAUAGAUGAUUUUGGAAAUGUAAGAAAACAAGUUAAAAUCCACUUACCAAUAAAGUUGAGAUGAAAGAUUUCUUAAAAAGAGUCUCUAGGAUGAGCUUAAACUUGAAAAUGGUGAAAAAUAAGAAGAAAUUCCAAUUUUGAAACUUUAAAUCACUAGGCACCAGGUGUUCUUCGCGUUCAUGAAGCACCUAACACAAUUGCGGAGCACAGCGGCCCAAGUGGCCUUCGUUCUCACAAUAGCCUUGCCACCUAGCCUUCAUGUUUGAGAUCCUAGGCUCGCGUUCGCGUAGAGUAUAGCCCAGCCUGUCCCUAGACCCAUUAAUCUAUCGUGUUCCUGUGGGUACGAUCGCCUUCGUGAAGGGUAAUCCCUCUAGUGCUUCGCGUUCACGUCCAUAUCCUCACAUUCACGUAGAAGGUAUCCACCUCUAUCCCAACUUCCCUUUCGCAAUUUUGAGAGUAGCUUCGUGAUCGUGAAGCAAAAAAUACCAUAUAUCACCAUAUAGAUAAGCCAACAAUUUUUCUAAGUUCAAAUGGUCUGUAGGCUUUUCGAAACUCACCCGAGCCCUUGGAUCUCCAAACCAAACAUGCACAGAAUUGUAAUAACAUCAUACAAACUUGUUCGCAUGGUCAAACCACCAAAAUAACAUUUAGAACUACGAAUUGGACUGCAUGAAAUUUUCAAAGAAACUCAAAAACUUCCAAAUUUAAACCGAGCAUCCAAAUCCAAUCAAAUCAACUUUGUUUCGCACAAAAUUUUGCAGAAAAGUUUAAAUACUAAAAUGAACCUAUACCAAUUUUCGGAACCCAAAUCCGAACCUGGUAACCAUAAAGUCAACUUACCGUCAAACUUAAAAAAUUUCCAAACUUUCAAAAUACUAGCUUUCAGCAAAGUAAUUCAAAUCAAUCUAGGAACCUCCUGAGCAUACGUCCAAGUUCAAAAUUAUGAUGCGGACCUAUCGGAAUUGUUAAAAUAUUGACCCAUGGUGGUUUUUUUUAACAUGUUGACCCUAGUUAAUAUAAGUGGUUGUUAAAGCUAAAAAUCAUAUUUUCUUCAUAUUAUCACAUAAAAUCUUUUCGAAAAAAAGAUACGGAAUGGGCAUGCAAAUCGAGUAACACUAAAUGGAGCUAAUAAAUGUCUCGAAAUAUGGAAAUAAGGACUAUAACUCAAAACUAUCUAUCAGGUCAUCACAUUCUCCAUCUUUAAAAGAAACAUUCGUCCUUGAACAGAUAUAGAAAAGUACCUGAACUACUGAAAAGGUGGGAGGUACCUACUGCACAUAUCAGACUUGGAGUCCCACAUAGCUUCCUUGAUCAGGUGACCUCUCUAAUGCACUCUAAUAGAAGGAUUCCUCUUAGACCUUAUCUUCCGGACCUGUAGUGCUAGAAUAGUCAUUGGCUCCUCAUCAUAAGUCAAAUAUUUGUCCAGUUGGACUGAGCUGAAAUCUAAUACAUGGAACAGAUCACUAUGAUACUUCUGGAUCAUGGAAACAUGGAAUACUGGGUGAACUGCAAAUAAGCUAGGUGGCAAUGCAAGCUUGUAGACCACAUCACAAUCUUUCUCAAGGAUCUCAAAGGGUUCGAUAUACCUAAGGCUCAACUUUCCCUUCUUCUCCAACCUGAUCAUACCCUUCAUGGGUAAAACCUGGAGGAAUAUCCUCACUCCAAACAUGAAUUCAACAUCAUGAACUCUCCGAUUGGCAUAACUCUUCUACCUAGACUGUGUUGUACGAAGCCGAUCAUGAAUCAUCUUGACCUUUUUUCCAAGGCAUCUCGAACCAAAUUAGUACCCAACAACUCAGACUCUCCCAUCCCAAACCAACUAACUAGAGAAUGACACUACCUCCUAUAUAAGGCCUCAAAAGGAGCAAUAUGAAUACUCGAUUGGUAGCUAUUUUUGUAGGAAAACUCUUCAAGAGGCAAAAACUGAUCCCAAGAACCAACAAAAUCAAACAUAGGCGUGAAGCAUAUCAUUCAAAAUUUAAAUGGUGCGUCGGGCUGCAUGUCCGUCUGGGGGUGAAAUGUUGUACUCAACUCAACCCAUAUUCCUAACUCACCCUCUACGGCCCUCCAAAAAUGUGAUGUGAACUGCGUGCCCCUAUCAUAAAUAAUGGAAUACCGUAUAGAUGAACAAUCUCACGAAUAUAGAUCUCAACCAGCCACUCAAUAGAAUAAGUAGCCACCACUAGAAUGAAAUGCGCCGACUUGGUCAACCUAUCCACAAUGACCCAUAUUGCGUCAAAUUUAUUCAAAGUCUGAUUGUAACUAUGAAAUCAUGGUAAUACGUUACCACUUCCACUCCUGAAUAUUAAGUCUCUGAAGCAUACUUCCAGGUCUCUUAUGCUUGUACUUCACAUGUCGGCAAUUCUCUUAUGCCCCUACUUCACCUGUUGGCAAUUCAAACACUGAGCCACACACUCAACUAUAUCUUUCUUCAUUCUUCUCAACCAAUGAUGUUGUCUCAAAUCCCGAUAUAUCAUGGCGUCACCCAGAUGAAUGGAAUACCAAGAACUAUGGGCCUCCUCAAGAAUCGACUCACGAAAGCCACCCAUGUUGGGCACAAAAAUCUGACCCUACAUCUAUAACAUCCCAUCAUAUCCAAUAGAAACCUCCUUAGCAUUACCAUGUUGUAGUGUUCUUAAGGACAAGCAAAUAGGGGCCGUCAUACUGACGCUCUCUGAGACACGCAUACAAAGUAAACCGAGAGACUGUGUAAGCAAGAACCCGACUAGGCUUCAAACCAUUUAACAUAACGAACUGAUUGGCGAAGGCCUGAACAUCUCAUGCUAGUGAUCUUUCACCAACUGGAAUAUAUAUAAGGCUACCCAUACUCAUAGCCUUUCUACUCAAGGCAUCGGCCACCACAUUGGCCUUUCCAAGAUGGUACAAAAUGGUGAUGUUAUAGUCUUUUAACAUCUCUAACAACCUCUGGUGCCUCAAAUUUAUAUCCUUUUGCUUGAACAUGUGUUGUGAACUUUGAUGAUAUGUGAAUAGCUCACACGACACACCGUAUAGGUAAUUUUUUCGAAUCUUCAAUGCAUGAACAAUAGAUGCCAACUCUAAGUCAUGAACAGGGUAAUGAUUCUCAUGGACCUUCAACUAUCGGGACACGUAUAAAAUCACCCAAUCAUCCUGCAUCAAUACUGCUCCAAGCCUAACAAACAAUGCAUCACAAUACACGAUGUAGGAUCCUGAAGCCGUAGGCAACACCAACACUGGAGUUGUAGUCAAAGUAGUCUUGAGCUUUUGAAAUCUCAGCUCACAAUCAUUAUACCACCUGAAUGGGAAACCCUUCUAAGUCAAUCUAGUCAAUAGGGUUGCGAUAGAUGAAAACAUGUCCAUGAACCAACAAUUAUAACCCGCCAAACCCAGCUAGCUUCGAAUCUCUGUAGCUAAAGUAGGUCGAGGCUAGUUUUUAACUACCGUAAUCUUCUUAUGAUCACUUUAAUGCCUCAAAAGAUACCACAUGCCCCAAAUAUGAAACAGAAUCCAACCAAAACUCACAAUUUAAAACUUGGAUAUAACUAACUACAUCCAAAGAUGUUGCUCAUGCUCCUCUCGACUGCAAGUGUAUACCAAAAGUAUACGAAAAUAUCAUCAAUGAAGGCGAUCACAAAAGAAUCCAUAUAGGGCUUGAGUAUCAUUUCAUCAAAUCCAUAAAUGUUGAUAGGAAAUUUGUCAAGCCAAAUGGCAUCACUAGGAACUCAUAAUUCCCAUAACGAGUCUGGAAAGUUGUCUUAGGGACAUCUGAUGCCCUAAUCUUCAAUUGAUGGUAGUAAGAUCUCAAAUCAAUCUUUGAAAACACUUUGGCACCCUAAAGCUGAUCAAAUAAAUCAUCAAUCCUCAUCAAAGGAUACUUGUUCGUGAUAGUGACUUUGUUCAAUUGCUGAUAAUCAAUACACAUCCUCAUUGUACCAUCUUUUUUCUUCACGAACAAUACUGGUGCAUACCAGGCAAGAAACUAGGUCUAAUGAAUCCUUUAUCAAGAAAAUAAUGCAACUGCUUCGAUCAACUCACUUGGGGCAGUAUGAUAUGGUGUAAAAUACGCGAAGGGCCCGAAGCCAAGUCAAUACAAAAGUCGAUAUCUCUAACGGGUGGCAUCCUCGACAUAUUUUCAAGAAACACUUCUAAAAACUCAUGCAAAAUUGGUACUGAAACCAUGGAAGGAACCUUUGCACUAGAAUCACAAAUAUAGGCCAAAUGUGCUAUACAUCACUUCUCGACCAUAUUCCAAGCCUUUACAUAAGAAAUAACCUUACUAGUAGAAUAGAAAGGUGUCCCUCUCCGCUCUAUUCGAGGCAACCCUAGCAUGGAUAACGUCACCGUCGUCCAAUAUAACAUGAUAAGGUGAUAACCAGUCCAUGCCCAAAAUAACAUGAAAGUCCAUUAUAUCAAUAAGUAGGAGAUCUACACUAGUCUUAGGGCUUCCGAUAGAAACCACACAUGAGCGAUAAACACGCUUUACAAUAAUAAAAUCUCCCAUAUGUGUGGACAGGUGUGUCUUGCUCAAUUGGUAAAGCACAUCCACCCACAAACCAUAGGUCUCAGGUUCGAGUCACACUGGAGGGGAAAGUGUGGAAACUAUAUAGAUCCUCAUAAAUUGGGAGUUAAUUUUAAAAAAAUAUAUAGGAGCACUCAAAAAAUUACGAAGCAUAACCAGAUAUGAAGAAAAAUGGGAUGGAACAUAGGAAAAAGUAGAGCCUGAAUCAAGUAAAACUGAAGCAUCUCUAUAUGCAAACUAGAACGAUACAUGUGAUUAUGGCAUCAGAUGACUCUGCCUCAGGUCUAUCUAGAAAUGCAUAAAAAUGGGGCUCGGACCCACCACUCUGACCUUUGACCCUCAGGUGACCUCUAGAUGGAUGACCUCCACCUUUAAUAGCAUGACCUCUACCUCUAAUAGCCUAACAUCCGUCUCUAGCUGGCUGUGCAGGCGAUGGAGCGACCAGUGCCAGUAUAAUCGCAUGAGAAACCUACUAAGGUCUGCUGCUUAUUCAAUAUAGGGCAAUACCCACUGAUGUGAAAUGUGCCGUAUACUCAAAGCACUCCCUCGGCUAUUAGGGAUGCUGAAACUGAGACUGAACUUCAUAGCUCAGAUACCUAUUAUAUAACUUUGUAGCGGUGGUGCACUAAUAGGAGCUAAAGGGGCACUAAGAUUUGGCCGAAUCUAUUGGGAAAGAUGGCAUCUAUCAAAAGAACAACUGCCUCCAAAUGAGGCACCACUGAAACCGUCGAAAUUACGAGACCUCUUCCCAAAUAUCACCUCUCUAUCCUGACCAUGAACCAUCUUGAUCCGUCCAACAAUCUCUACGGUCCUCUGGAAAGAAAUAUCACCCUCUGCUCGUUGGCCAUCUGAAGCCCAUUUUUGAAGGUAAAACGAUCAAUACACCUCCUCACCCUAUAUUCUAUCGAUGGGAAUCAAGAUAGUUGUGUGACGGGCUAGGUCCACCAAUCUGGUCUUAUACUUGGUGAUUGUAAUUGCAUCCCUGCUGAAGGCACCCGAAUUGCCUAUGGUAUUCUUAUCUUAGAGUGAAAAAAAUAAACAUAUCUAGAAAUAACAAUAAAAAAUGAUCCUAGGUAAGUGAAGGUGAACCAGCUGUUCUGCUCCACUCAAAAUCAUGUCAACAUAUCUUGGCAGAAUCGGCCAUUUGGAACAUUGCAAAGCCGACCCCAUUGGUCUCAACAAUACUGCACAACACCUCAUGGCAACUGUUUAAGUAAUCUUGUAGGUCCUCUAAAGGUGCACCGCCAAAAUGAAUAGGAAGAGCAUGGUAAACUUAUCCAAUCUCAUCAAUUUCUCAGAAGACAUCGCGGGCCUAUCCCCAGGCUGUGUAGCAAUAACGGCCUGAACUACCCCAACUGCUAGAGCUGCCAAAGUCUAGUAGAAGGGAGCCAUCUGCUUCGGAGUAUGAGUGGCAUGUGUAUGUGCUCCUCCUCCAGCUUGAGAAACAACUGGUGGCAUAGGAAAUAUGCUGAUAUGAGCGGAACUCGCCACGAGUCCAGCUAAGUGGAGUAAAGCAUCCUGAAGUGCGGGAGUGGCAAUGAAUCCCUCUAGGACCUAAGUGGGUCCGACUAGUGCGGUCUAAACUGGGAUCUCCUCCUCAUGAUCAAUUUGAGGCUCCACAAUGGGUGUUGCUGCUCGUGCUCUAGGUUGAGUCUGCUUCUGCCGCGGCCCUGUCCCCUACCUAGUGGCUGCAAAAGGGGGUUUGGUUCAUUCCCGGCUAUAGACGUUGUGUGAGUUCUCGCCAUCUGUGAAAUAACAAAAGUAUAAUGGUUCAAAAUUCAAUCAUGGAAAUAAGUCGCACAAUAGAGAAAGAAAAAGGUUAAAUAUUCCUAAAGCCGUAUAGCCUCUAGAAGAUAAGUACAAACGUCUAUGUACCAAUUCUCUAGAGUCUAGACUAUACUAAACCUUUUCAUGACUCGUGAGACUUAGGCAACCUAGUGCUCUGAUACCAACUUGUCACAAUUCGGAAUCCCACCAAUAUUAGCUAAAUUUACUAACCAGUUUUCAGCAGUUCAAAUUAAAAUGUUAAUGAUAACUAAAUAGUCUAAAAUAAGGUGAUAAAACUACUGAAAACUAUUAAUCUAAAUACAAUCUCAAAAACUGGAGCCACAAAUACAUGAGAGUCUAGAGUGCUACAGAUAAUAAUCUGAAUAAACACAACUAUUUGAAUCUAAAUGAACAAUAAUAAUGACAUAGAAGGGGACUUCAGGGCUACGGACGUCAUGCAACUACACCCCAAGUCUCCACAAGUAGCUGGAUCCCGGAAAUCUCACUAUGCUAUGUUGGGAUCAACUCCAGUACCUGCAUAUGAAGUGCAGGGUAUAGUACGAGUACAAUCGACCAUAUGUACUCUGUAAGUACCGAGUCUAACUUUCACGAAGUAGUGACGAUGCUAAGACGAGCCACUUACAAUAACAUGUACGCAAUAAUAAUAAUAACUAGAAAAGGAAAAUGGAAUUAAAUCAAUUAAAUCAUGAAAAUAAACUCGAAAUUCAACUACCAGGGAGCCCGGAAUAAUAAGUCAUAGUCUCAUAUUAUAAUACCGAGGCUAAUUCAACAAUCACAAACAAGUAGCACGUAUGCAAUCUGUUGCGGCGUGUAACCCGGUCCUACCAUAUCAUAAUUCAUCCUUAUUCCACUAUUUCAAUUCAUUACCUCUUAAUUUCCAUUGCGGCGUGCAACCCGCUUCCUAGACAAUUUCGAUCAUCAACAUAAACAAUUGAAUAACCAAAUUUAGAAGAAUUUCUACAUCGAGAGGAUAAAUGUGUAAGGCAAUGUAGAACCACAGAAUAAUUAAUGAAUCUCAAACAAUUCGAAGUCCCAACUUUACCAAUUCAUCAGUAUCUAAAAGUUAAACAACUCAUGCAAGUGAAACCACAUUAGAGAAUGCAACAAAUGGCACAAAACGAUAGAACUAAUAUAGCAUGUAACAAUUAAGGUAUGCAAUUAAAGCAAGUAAGGGCAAGUAGCAAAAAACAUGGAGUUGUGGGAGGAAAGACAAACUAAGGCAAAAGAAUAAUAAAAUUUCAAGUAACAAUUAUGGCACAGAAGUCAAAUAAAGGCAUAUAACAAUUAAGGCAUGAAGCAAGAUAUAUUAUGAAUAAACGAAAUUAUGAAAUAAACGAAAACAUGAAAAUAAAUAUCAUGACAGUAUAUAUAUAGUCGUCACCUCGCAUAUAAGUCAUUUUCCCACAUAAUUCACUAACAUAUAGUUCAAUAAUUCUUAAUUUCCUCAAGUCAGGGUUACACACAAUACAUACCUCACUCCGCAAUUAAAUCAAUGCUCAACCGCGGGUUUUCCUCUAAAAUUAGCCUCUAAACCAAUCAAACCUAACCAAAUAUAGUUCAAAUAAUUCAAAAUAAGCUUUAGAAACUACCCGUGAGUAAAAAAUAUUCAAUCUUAGAUGUUUCUAGAAAAUGUCAACAAAAGUCAACCCCAGGCUCGCUUGGUCAAAUCUGAUAUUCGGAUCAAAACCCAACUACUCAUUACCUCCAAGCACGGUUAUGUGAUUAGUUUCCAAAUUCAAGCUCAAUUUGAGAUCUAAAUCCAUAUUUCUAAAAAUCCCUAAUAUCUAAUUUCUAUCAUGAAAAAGCAUAGAUUAAAGGUUAAAUCAAUAUGUGAUUAUGGAAAUGUAAGGAAACAAGUUAAAAUCUACAAACCAAUGAAAUUGAAAUGAAAAAUGUCUUCAAAAUCGCCUCUAAGCCGAGCUCAAACUUGAAAAUGAUGGAAAAUGAAAAGAAAUCCCGAUUUUGAAAUAUUAAAUCACUGGGUGUCUGGUUGUCUUCGCGUUUGCUAAGCACCUAAUGCGAUAGCGAAGCAUAAAGAGGCAAGUGUUCUUCACGAUCACAAGAUACACUCUGCAUUGCUCACCCACCUGGCCUUCGCGUUCGCGAGCCUAGGCUUGCUUUUGCAUAGAGUAUAUCCCAGCCUACCCCCAGACCCAUGAACCUAUCACGUUCACGUGGGUAUGGUCUUGUUCGCGAAGGAUAAUCGCUCCAUUGCUUCAAGUUCGCAUCUGCAUCCUCACGUUCACGUAGAAGGAAUCCUUCCCCAGUCCAACAUCCCCUUCGUGUUCGCCAAGAACAAAACUCCAGAUAUCUGCAAAUAGUUGAACCAUCAAUUUUUCUAAGCUCAAAUGGUCCGUAUCCUAUCUGAAACUCACUUGAGCUCUUCGGGCUCCAAACCAAACAUGUUGUUAAGUGUAUUAACAUCAAACGAACUAGAUCCCACAAUCAAAAUACUAAGAUAAUACCUAGAACUAUGAAUCGGACGUCAAAAUGCAUGAACUUUUCAAAGAAACUCAAAAACUUCCAAAUUCACAACAAAACAUUUGAAUCCUAUCAAAUCAACUCUGUUUUGCACCAAAUUUUUCAUACAAAUUUAAAGUAGUAAAAUAAAUCUAUACCAAGUUACGGGACUGAAAUGCAAUCCCAGUAGCCAUAAAUUCAAUUUACGGUCAAACUUAGGAAAUAUCCAAGCUUUCAAACACUAGCAUUUGGCAAAGUGAGUCAAAUCAAUCGAGGGACCUCCGAUUUCAAUUCCAGGCAUACGGAUAAGUCAAAAAUCAUGACAGACCCACCAGACUUGUCAAAACACCGAUCUGAGGUCGUUUUUACAAAAUAUUGAACGUACUCAACUCAAGUUAUUUUCAACAUUUUUCUUCAGAUUUUCAAAUAAAAUCUUUCCAAAGAAGAUACGGAUUGCGCAUGCAAAUUGAGAGAUACUAGAUGUAAUGACCCCAUCGAUCGUUUUAAGUAUUUGCAUCUUCGCUCACCAAUUCUCAAGCAUGAAUAGCCCCAUAUGAUGUAUUAUGACUCAUGUAAAUUAUUAGUUUUAGUUUUAAGGUUAAUUGGAAUAGAGAUGGAAGAAUGAUUCUCAACUUGAAGCUCCAAAUUUGAAAGGUUUGACCAAGUUUUGACUUUUUAGUAUUUGACCUCAAAUUUGAAUUUUAAUGAAUCUAUUAGCUCCUUUAGGUGAUUUUGGACUUAGGAGUGUGUUCGAAAUGUAAUUUGAAGGUCUGUGGUAGAUUUAGGCCUGAAUUGGCAAAAUUGGUAAUUUGGCAUUUUCCGGAAGGCAAUAGAAAUCUUGAUAUCGGAGUCAGAAUGGAAUUCCGAAAAUUGUAGUAAGUACGUUGUGUCAUUUGGGGCGUGUGUGCAAAAUUAUGAUCAUUCGAAGGUGAUUUGGUAGGUUUCGACAUUAUUUGUGGAAUUUGAAGGUUCCUAAGUUCUUAAGCUUGAAUCCGAAGUUGAUUUAGUAUUUUGGUCUUGUUUUGAGUGAUUCGAAGGCUCUACUAAGUUUUAAUAAAGUUAUGGGGGGUGUUGGUACGUUUGGUUGAGGCUCUGAGGGCCUGGGGUGUGUUUCUAGUGAGUUUUGAGCGAGUCUGGGCAUUACAAUGCAUGGUUUUGAUGUUCAAUUUUCGGUGAGAAGGAAGGGAUUUUCCGCUGAGGGCAAUUGAUUUUCGCUGAGGCAGAGUAGGGAGAGCUGAGGCGGAAAAUGGGGCGAUGAGGCACUCUAGGGUAGAAUAUGCAAGUUCGUUGGUCCGACUUCAGAAGCCUCUAUAUUUUGAUCGACAAGAAAUUUUGAGAUGAUUCAAAAACGAGGGUUGUAUCCCUUCGUGUCUAGUUUUCAGAAAGAUAAUAAAACUACAAUUUGGAUAUGUGUAAAGAAAUUUAUUUCCAAAAUACUAAGGCCUAUCUUUGCAGCCACCAGAAGCGCGAUCAGCAGUGAUUUUGCGCGGUCAACGGUGAUGGGAAUCUGAAAGGUGCACUCUAAAUACAAGAUUUUGGGUUUUAUUUCAUAUUUUGACCUAGAGAGCUCGGGCUUUGGCAAUUUUUCGAAGGAUUUUCAAAAAACCAUCGGGUUAAGACAUUCUAUCUCAAAUUUGGCUAAAAUACAAGAUUAUAACAUUGGAUUCAUAAUUUGAUUAGAGAUUUGGGAUGCAAAUUUGGGAAACUUUUGUGGAACUUCACAAAAUAAAUUUUAGGGUUUGAAAGACGAUUCACAGUCGAAAUUAAGUGAAAGUAGUAUGGAUAGUCUCGUAACUAAUUGGUUGUCAUAUUUUGAGACUUUGGUCAGAUUUCGAGACGUGGGCCCAGGGGACGGGGUUGAGGAAUUUCGGGAUUUUUGAGUUAAUUGGAUUAUUUUCACUUGGUCUUUGUUCCUUUAGCAUAUUUUGAUGAUAAUACACUGAUUUUGGUUAGAUUCAGAGGAGGCCGAUUCGAGAGGCAAGGGUAUCGCAGCCUAGAGUGUUAUCCGGUUUGAGGUAAGUAAUGAUUGUAAAUAUUGUCGUGAGGGUAUGAAAUCACGGAUUUCACAUCAUUGUGCUACUUUGAGGUAACGCACACGUUAGAUGACGAGCGUGGGAUCGUGCACCGUUGGGGAUCAUGACUUGGUCCAUCCCGUACAACUAUUAAGCCACGUAUUUGACUGAAAACUAUUUGAUAUCAUUCUAUUUUUGAAAGUAUUAUUAUAUUCUGGAGUGAAUGCCAUAUUUGCGCUUGGUGCCAACUGUUUGAACCCUCAGAGGCUUUUUACUACUAUUCCUUACUAUUUUGACUUAAUAUUGUACUCAGUCAUGUUAUAUUUUACUGAUUUCAUAACUCAACCAUAUUUACUUCGUUAUGAUACUUUAAAUAAUAUUUUUGGGCUGAGCAUCAUGUUUUACUAUUGUCCGAGUGGCUUGAGAGGUUUCUGAGUGAGUGAGGCCGAGAGUCUGUGUUGUGAGGAUAUUAUGAGAUCGGAUUGCACGACACAACAUGUUGUUGCUAAUUCAUGAUUAAGAGGCCGAGGGCUUGAUUUGUUAUGCCAUGAGGUGGCUUGUUAUGAGGACGAGAGCAUGUUUUAUUAUGCCACGAGGUGGAUUGUUAUAGCGAUUGGGCUGUAGGAGCCCCUCCGGAGUCUGUACAACCCCAGUGCGCGCGAGUACCCUGAGUGAGUGAUAUGAUGUUAGAACGAGAGGCUGGUUACGAUAUGAUAUCUGUUUUUGAUCCAUGUUUUUCCCGAGGGCAGGUUUUUGAUUCAUGUUACGCUGGACGGGCUGAUUACGAGUGAUUGUGAGGUAUCCCGAAGGGCUGGUUCUAUUGAUAUUAUGCUCGAGGAGCGGUUUAUGGUACAUGUUUUUUUCCGAGGGACUGUUUAUGUUUCUAUUAUUUUUACUCACUAUUUUAUCACUCAUUUAAUACUGUUGGAAGACAUUUUAAAAAGGAAAGGUUUUUUUUUACUAAAACUGAGUUUGAUUUACAAAAUAAAUGAUUUUUGUGCUGUUUUAGAAAUGUAUUUUAUUUGUUGUAGUGUUAUGACGUGGUUUGUAUUUUUUCUUACUGCUCAACUUUCAUUUACUUUUAUUACAUACUGAGUUGGCGUAAUCAUAUUACUCUUGCACCUUGUUUGCAGAUUCAGGUAUUUUUAAACCCAAUGGCGGGUGUUGAUUACUCACUGGCAGGUUCGUCGGAGUUAGCGAGGAAGCUGCCUGGCGAUCGCAGCCCUGCUUUUCUCCCCCUUUAUUCUUCCUUAGUGUAUUUUUGUGAUUUUCCCGACCAUUUUGGCCUUGAUGUCGUCAGAGCAGUUGUAAUAGAUGCUCGUGACUUGUGACACCUCGAUGUCGGGUUGUGUAUUUAUUCUGCACUAGUUAUUCAGACUUAUAUUAUGAGAUUUCUUGUUAAUAAAUGGUUUAGAAUGACUUUUAUAGAAUAAUGGCUUGAUUUUGGAAUUGUAUCGGGUGGCCUAGUUUCAUAAUAGGCGUCAUCAUGACGGGGUCGAUUUUAGCAUCGUGGCACUAAAUGGAACUAAUAGAGGUCUCGAAAUACAAAAAUGUAGGCUUGAACUCAAAAUAACCUAUCGUGUCGUCACAUAGAGAUGUUAGAAAAUAUAGCUUUUGGCCCUAAUACACCCAUAAGAGGUAUUAGCUAAUCGACACAUUAGUUAGUCUAACCCUAAACCUAAUAAUAUCAUAUAUAAAGGUUAUAAUAGGUCUUGAAAAGAUACACUUUUCAUAAUAUCAAACGGCAUGGAUUUAGUAGUAAGGUUCCUCUACAUCAAGAAGGAUAUAUAGGCUGUGGAAAAAAGGGAGUUCAUCUGUCUCGUGAGAAUUUCCAACAACCAAUAAUUCGAGUAGUAACUUUUACAUAAGAUUCACUUCGGCUAAAGAGAAAUUCAGUAAGUCUCCUAACUCAAUUUAUUACAGCUUCCUUGCAAAAAUAAAGGAGAAACUGAACUCAUUGCUCACUUCCAGGCCAUUUUUUCUUCAUGGAGUAAGACGCGUUCUUGCUGAAUCUGACACUAAAGCUUACUGUGAGAAGAAGGUGCUUAUCAAUCUCACCUUUCUAACUUUAAAAGUUUGAGCUUUAAACUUUUCAUUUUAUAUAAAUAUCAUGAUAUAUUUAAGAGUGCCAAUUUAAAUAGUAUUGUGGUAUGCGUCAAAAAUAUUUUUUUCUUUUUAAAUUUUCGUGCCAAUUAUAUAGGGGAGUAUUCCCCCAAUUGAUAUUCAAAGAAAUUAUUUCUGAAUUUCCUGCAAAUUGAAUACCAUGUAGAGAUAACAUUAGAUCCAUUUCGGUCUUUUGAUCAUAUGCCAUCAAUGAAUCCUAUCUCAAUUUCUCUAGAUGAUAUUUAAACUUUGGAAUGGUAACUUUCUGAAUGUCAAUCUCUUAACAUUUUGGGCUCAACAAGGCAAGGCACAGUUAUUGUCUCUCACAGCAUUACAUCAUUAUUAUUGUCACGACCCAAAAUCACACUGGCACCUAACCAACCCGCUAGAUAAGUCCAGCAAUAUAAGUCACUUCUAUAAAUAGAAACCAACAGAGAUAAUGAGUGAAAUAGCUAAAAAGCUUCAAUUCAACUAUCUCAUGGGCUGGCAGUACAAAUCGCGGGCAACAAAGAAUAAGCGUACAACUCCAGUUUGAGUUUGGAUACAUCAUAUGUUUGAAAUCAAUAUAAACAGAAAUAUAAAUGCUAAACUACUAUGAACAAAUGGUAGCGCGCUUGUAUAUGGAGUGCUUGUACAUCUUCUCGUCCACGAACUCCUCAGCCACUCAUCUUCGAACAUCUGCAGGCAAAGUGCAGAAGUAUGGUAUAAGUACAAUCAACCUCAUAUACUCAGUAAGUAUCUUGACUAAUUUCGAUGAGUAAUAACAAGGUUUUAAGUCAAAAGAUACUCACUAAUACAACUUAUAAAGUUAAAUUACAGUAGAGAGAAGAAUUGAAAAUAAAAACAUAAAUAGCAAGAACAAAUACGAGAAAUAGUGAUAACGAUCAGGUUCCUCAGUAUCACAACCAAGCCCUUUCUUAAAAGUUCAAGUCGAGAGGUUAAGGCAAUAACUACUAACAACAUAGUUAACACACGAAUUCACAAUAAGAGGAAUAUGUUCAAGAUAUCAAAUAAAAUAGUACCAACCAGAUAGAAGGUACAAUAAUAGUAACAAAAAAGUAGAAGGUACACAAAUAACAGUAACAAAUAAGGCAAAACCAUAUGAAUAAUGGUAACAGACACGUUAGGAGGCACGAAAAUAAAAAUGGCAAAUAAAGUAGAACAUAGAUUUCGAUAACUAACAAGAUAGAAGGUUUAGAUAAAACACCGGCAAAUGAGCGAAGACAUAGAUGUAAUAUAAUAAACUAGAAAGAAAGCACAAAAGUAACAACAACAAAUAGAUAGAAGGUAUGGAUAAAAUAAUGACAAAUAAGAUAGAAGGCAAAGACGUAACAACAAGCAACAUAGAAAGCAUAUGUGCUAAAUAACAACUCAGGAUAAAAGCAUAAAUGUAUAUGUAAGGGAAAGAUAAAACAAUAUAAUGCAUUCUCUCAUCCUCUUCUACAGGGAAAAACCCUUCAUGCCAUGAACUCUCGUCCUCAUAUUCUAAUGUAAAAAUAAUUGCACGGUAUCACUCUUCGUACUUUUACCCACAUCCUCACAUUAUAAUGUAAUAAACAAUUGCACGAUAUCGCCUUUCAUAUUUUUACUCUCAUAUUCACGUAAUAAAACAAAAAUAAUUUUACGACAUCACCUUUCGCGACUUUACUCUUAUUUUCACAUAAUAUAAUAUUAAAAAAAUUACACGACAUCACCCUUCAUGCCUUUACUCUCAUCUUCAUAUAUUUAUAUAAAAGUAAGCACAGAAACACUUGUAGUGCAAUUUACUCCCUCACCAAGCAUAUAUACAUCAAUAACAAGCAAGGUAGGAAGCAUGGAUAACAUCAAGAAGAGUGAUAUAGCAAAAUACACCACGUAGACGACAAUCAUAGCCUUUGCACGAAUAAAUAAAUCAAUAAACUUCAAGAACCCCACAGCUAAAGUAUCUCAACAAAGCUCAAAACAUGAUUUUCAACAUAAGUAUGGAAUCCAAGUAUUUCAAGAAUAACGAACAUAGACAUAUAUUUAUGAUUUACGUACAGUUACGAUCAAAUUUAGCACAUCAAUCGUCUCACAAAGAGUCCAUCGUAUUUAAUCAAGUUGUAAUAAGUUGAAGCAUGGUCUCUAGCAUUGAUAUUCAUGCUUAUAUUAUUUUAUAAAUCAAGUAAACCAUGAGGCAAGAAAAUUACAAAGUUCAACAAAUCACAAAGAAUUAUAUAAUUUACCCCAAGCAUGAAUAACUAUGGCACAUGCACAUACGCUCGUCACCUCGCAUAUGUAUCUCCCCUCCCCCUCCCCCCUNNNNNNNNNNNNNNNNNNNNNNNNNNNNNNNNNNNNNNNNNNNNNNNNNNNNNNNNNNNNNNNNNNNNNNNNNNNNNNNNNNNNNNNNNNNNNNNNNNNNNNNNNNNNNNNNNNNNNNNNNNNNNNNNNNNNNNNNNNNNNNNNNNNNNNNNNNNNNNNNNNNNNNNNNNNNNNNNNNNNNNNNNNNNNNNNNNNNNNNNNNNNNNNNNNNNNNNNNNNNNNNNNNNNNNNNNNNNNNNNNNNNNNNNNNNNNNNNNNNNNNNNNNNNNNNNNNNNNNNNNNNNNNNNNNNNNNNNNNNNNNNNNNNNNNNNNNNNNNNNNNNNNNNNNNNNNNNNNNNNNNNNNNNNNNNNNNNNNNNNNNNNNNNNNNNNNNNCCCCUCCCCAUGUAGCAAACAAUAUUAUUUUAUUAGGAAACUUUCUCCAACAAAGCUAGACAAGACACACUUACUUUAUUCCGAAAUAAUUUUCGCAAUCCAGUACCGUCUUCUUUAGAAAUACUCCUCAAAACUAUCAAAACUUAGUCAAAUAUCAUUAAAGUCAAAUAAUGCUAAAUAAAAUAUCCCCAGCCAAUAAAGGUUCAAUAGUUACCAAAAUCUCAUCAAAUCAAUAAAAAGUUAACUUGGACCCGCAUGGUCUAAAUCCGAAAUCGAGACCAAGUCCCGAUAACCCGUAACCUUACGAGUCCAAAUAUAUAAUUUGCUUAGAAAUUUGGCCUUAAUUUGAUGUCUAAUUUUAAAUUUUACAAAUCAGAAAUUCUACCCAAUACCCCAAUUUCUAGCCUAUGAGAAUUUAGAUUUGAUAAUAACAUUUAUGAAAAGGAAUAAAAAAUUGAAUGAAAACAAGUUAAAGUUACUAACAGAUAGAGUUGGAAAAACAUUACUCUUCAAAAAUCGCUUCUAUGGAGUUUAUGUCUUGAAAUGGAGUAAAAUGAGCUAAGUACUAAAAUUUGCAAUUAUUACCCAGUUGUAGAUAUCGCAAUUACGAACUCUUGUUCACAAUUGUGAUGUUCGUAAAUACGAACCAUUGAUUGCAAAUGUGAUCAAUGCCUGAGAUCCUCUAAUGUCGCAAAUGCAACACAUUUAUCGCAAAUGUGAACUGAGGGACCAUCUCAAAUGCGGAAUUGGCUUCGCAACAGUUAAGAUGUUGCCUCUUCCCAAAGUUUCAAAUGCGACAAACCAAUUGCCAUUGCAGAAGCCACCCCGUCGUAAAAGCGAAGUUUCCCAGCCCCCUCCAGCAUCACAAAUGUGAGCAUGAUCUCACAAAUGCAAGAACUGUAGGCUUUUACACCAGAAUUUCUUAGCUAUGCAAAAAUAUUCCGCAACAAAUCUGAAACUCACCCGAGCCCCUUGUGCUCCAAUUCAAAUAUUAAGACAAGUCUAUUAGCAUCAUAUAAACUCGUUGUGGAUUCAAUUCAUCAAUACAAUUGAUUGUCAAAACUCAAGAUUUUCUACUUCAAAACUCAAUUUUCUAACUUUCCACAGAACACGCCAGAAUAAUCUUGGAUCGCCCGAGAUCCCAACCAAAUAUUUGUACAAGUCCAAUAUCAUCAUACAAACCUACCAGAAUCAUCAAAAUAACAAUCCAAGAUCGUUUUCCAAACUGUGGUCAACUCUAGCCAUAUUUAAAGUCAAAUAUUAUAUAUUUCUCUAAAUAUCCACAACAAGUCCAAUAUCAUCAUACAAACCUACCAGAAUCAUCAAAAUAACAAUCCAAGAUCGUUUUCCAAACUGUGGUCAACUCUAGCCAUAUUUAAAGUCAAACAUCAUAUAUUUCUCAAAAUUUUCACAUUUAAAUUCUUCGAAAAUCGACACAGACCAUACACACAAUUCAAAAAUCAUUAAAUAGAGCUAUUAAAAGUCUUGAAACACAUAAAUAAUAUCUAGUACUCAAAACUAUUGAUCGGGUUGUUACAUUCUCCCACUUAAAAAUAUGUUUGCCUCGAAUGUGCCAAGAGUCAUUCUAAAACCGUCAAAUAGUUGAAUAAACUCAUCAUACUCAUACCUAUGAGUGAUCUCAUGCCACCACAAUCCAUACAAGUCUAUGAACACGACCUCGACUAAAGAUUCUUCCUUCGACCUUAGCCCACAGGGCGUGGGACCAAAUUCCAACAUCUGAAAUCCCCUAUAAGAUCUGAUCUUUGUACAUAUACACCGUAUCAAUCUCAACAAGCUGCAUCAAGGCGUCAAUACACUGCCAAGAUCAAACCAUAUGAUGUACCCUAUAACUCAUGUACUCACAAAAAUAACUUCUGGCCACAAUAGCUACUUAUUAUCACACUCGGUACUGGUAAUAUACUUUAUAUCAAAUAAAAACAUUGUUCCAAACCUUAGCAACACUUCUAAUGACAAAAAAGUUACAGAAACUCAUAACUACCUAUAAAAUUAGCAAAACAUGGAUUUCUCUCGUCCGACAAGGACUAUUGCCAAAUUCUUGCCGGAAAAAUGGUAUUACUCUUCCAAACAUAUCUUAUCCCAAUACAGCAAAUUCCACGUCCAAAAACCUCAUCUCACCAAUACAAGUAGCCCAACCGACAAGUCACACCAAAAGCCACAUAGAAUUUCACACAUUGCGGUCAGUAUACUAAACAAGUAACAACUCUAAUAUGACAAAUAACAGUAAUAGGUUCAAAUAAGAAAGCUACCUAGCAAGUUUAAAAGGUAGGGCAAUAUUGAACGUAUCCUUAUGAACUAUUUCCACAAAGUUAAAGCAAAACAUAUGAAAUAAGCAUAAAGAAUCAUAUCCCAUCAUAGGUACUAUUUUGGCGUGCAAUUCGAUCCCACAUACUAAUGUUGCAGUGUGCAACCCGAUCCAAUCAUAAUUCACCUGGGAAUACCCAUCGAGCCAAAUGCAUGUGCUUACUAAACACAUGUGCAUCAACAUUAAGCACGAUAGAGCAUAUAAAUACAACAGGGGAAGAUGAAUAAGCAUAAUACACUACGAAAAAGAUAAGCACAACUGAGAUAAAAUAAGCAAAUCAACAACAAGAGCCAUCUCGCCCAUAUACUGCCACAACGCCGUGAAUUCACAAUAAGAGGAAAGUGUUCAAGAUAUCAAAUUCAAAUGGCACGGCAUUAUCCUUCGUGCAUUUAUCUCAUCUUCACUAAGUGUAUAUAUGUAUGUCAAAUCAAAUGGAAUGGCAACAUCCUUCCUGCAUUUAUCUCAUCCUCACCAAGUUUAUGCAUAACAAUACCAACCAGGUAGAAAGAAUACCAAUAAUAGUAACAACGAAGUAGAAGGUACAAAGAUACUAGUAACACAAGGCAGAAGCAUAUGGAUAACAGUAACAAACAAGGUAGGAGGCAUAGAAAUAAUGAUGGUGAAUAAGGUAGGAGAACAUAGAUUUCAAUAACUUACAAGGUAGAAGAUUUAGGUAAAACAAUGACAAAUGAACGAAGACAUAUAUGUAAAUAUAACAAGCAAAAAAGAAAGCAUGAAAGUAAGAAUAAUAAACAGAUAGAAAGUAUGGAUAGAACAAUAACAAAUAAGGUAGAAGGCAAAGACUUAACAGUAAGAAGAAGCAUAGAAAGAAUGGAUGCAAAAAUAACAACUCAGGAUAAAGGCAUAAAUGUAUACGUAAGGGAAAGAUAACAUAAGAUAAUACAUGUCUCUCAUCCUCGUCUGCACGGAAACACCCUUCAUGCCAUCAACUCUCGUCCUCAUAUUAUAAUGUAAAAGUAAUUGUGCGGCAUUACCCUUCAUACUUUUAUUUUCAUUCUCUCAUAAUAAUAUAAGAAUAAUUACACGGCAUCAUCCUUCUUGCUUUUACUCUCAUCUUCACAUUAUAUAAUAUAAAAACAAGCACGGAAACACCGUUCAUGUAUAAAUCACUCUUCCUCACAAGUACGGAAAUACUCUUUGUGCAAUUUACUUUUCCUCGCCCAAGCAUAUAUAUACAUCAACAACAAGCAAGGUAUGAAGCACGGAUAACAUCAAGAAGAGCAAUUAAGUAAAAUACACCACAUGAAUGAAAAUCACAGUUGUUGAACCAACAAACAAAUCAAUAAACUUCAAGGGCCCCAUUGUUCAAGUAUCUCAACAAAGCUCGGACAUGAUCUUCAACAUACGUAUGAAACCCGUAUCUCAAGAAUAAUGGAAAUAGACUUGUAUUUGUGAUUUAAGUAUAGUUACAAUCGAAUUCAGUGCAUCAACAGUCUCACGAAGAGUCUAUCAUAUUUAAUUGAGUUGUAAUAAGUUGAAGCAUGGUCUCUAGCACGGAUUUUUGUGCUCAGAUUAUUAUGGGAAUCAAGUAAAACAUAAGGUAAGAAAACCACAAGAUUCAACAAGGCGCAAAGAAUCACAUAAUCUAUCCCAAGCAUGGAUAACCCUAGCAAUGCAUUAAUGCUUGUCACCUCGAAUAUGCAUCACCUCUGCAUAUAGCAAACAAUAUCAUUUUAUUAGGAAAAAUUCCCUCAACAAAGCUAGGCAAGACACUUACCUUAUCUCGAAAUAAUUUCCACAAACAAUAUUAUCUUUCUUAAAAAUACUCCUCAAAAUUAUUAAAACCUAGUCAAAUAUCAUCCAAGGAAGUCGAACAAUGCUAAAGGAAACAUCCUCUAUCAGUAAAGGUUCAAUCUUUGCCAAAAGUCCAAAAGUUUCAAUCGGGCUCACAGUCUAAAUCCGAAAUCAAGAUCAAAUCCCAAUGACUCGCAAUCCCACGAUUCUAAUAUAUAAUUAUUUUGAAAUUUGACCUCAAUUUGAGAUCUAAAUCUCAAUUUUACAAAAUUUUUAAAUUCUACCCAAAACCUCAAAUUCUAGCCUAUGAAAUCUUAGAUUCGAUAACUAAAAUUUUACAAAUGUGAUGCAUUGAUCGCAAAUGCGAACCGAGGGACCAUCGUAAAUGCUUCGCAAAAGCAAAGUUGUCCAAUGUUCUCUAAAGUCGCAAAUGCGACAAACCAAUUGCAAUUGUGGAGACCACCCCGACGCAAAAGCGAACUUAGCUUCGCAAAAUGUGAAGCUCACCAGCCCCCUCCAACAUCGCAAAUGCGAGCAUGAUCUCGCAAAUGCGAGGCUCGCAUUUGCGAACGGUACCAUGCAAAUGAGAGAAUUGUAGGCUUUCAAAGCAGAAUUUCUCACAUAUGCAAAAAUGCUUCGCAACCAAUAAGAAACUCACUCGAGCCCCUCGGGCUCCAGUUUAAAUGUUCACACAAGUAUAUUCACAUCUUACAAACUUGCUCGUGAACUUAAUUUAUCAAAACAACAAUAAAUGCAAGAAUUGUUCAUCAAAACUCAAGAUUUUCAACUUCAAAAUUCAAUUUUCUAAUUUUUCAUGUAACAGGUCGAAAUGGUCUUGGGUCACCCCGGGACUCCAACCAAAUAUGCGUACAAAUAUAAAAUCAUCAUACGAACCUACCGGAAUAGUCAAAACACUGAUCCGGGGUAGUUUACCAAAAAUAUUGGCCGUUGUCAACUCUAGCAAUAUUUAAAUUCAAAAAUCUCAUUUUCUUCAAAAUUUUACAUGUAGAUUUUUUAAAAAUCGACACAGACCACACAUGCAAGUCAUAAAUCUCUAAAAAAAACUAUGCAAAGUCAUGAAACACAACCAAAAAAAAUUAGCAAGCAUUCAAAACGACUUAUUGAAUCAUUACAAUCAUACCUUAUCUUUGUGCUACCUGGUUACAUGCCACUUUAUCAGCUCUAACAAUUUUGUUUGAGGAUAUAAAGGUAAGAGUCUCAUUAACAUUUUAUACAUUCAUCACCAAGUUUUACUUUGUUCUAUUUCAACCAAACACCUCAACAGUUUGUUUCAGUUUUAACACUUUUAUCUAAAUUUUAUUUAUAAACUAACUCUAGUACUUAAAAGUGCUUUUAAGUGCAUGUGCUCAUAAGUCACUUUUUUUAACUAAUCCAAAUGGCCUCAAAGGAAAAGCAUGAUUCAGGACAAAAGUGAGUAAAAAAAGCACGAUAUAGUCAAUUUUCGGAUUGGUCAUUCAAAAAUAGCCAGUGUUUACCAAAUCAAUAAAAAAUAGCCAGUAUUUUGCUACAAUAGAGACCGGUCCAGCAUAAUAUACUGGAGUUCAGUGCACCUGUGUAUGAACUCCAGCAUAUUAUGUUGGACCGGCAUACUUUGGACGGCUCCAGUAUAAUAUAUUGGAGACUGGAGCACCGAUGCUCUAAACUCCAGUAUAUUAUGUUGGACCAGUAUACUUGCUGGAACUCCCGUAUUUUAUGUUGGAGUUCUAGUGUACUUAAUGAUGAAACUCCAUCAUAUUUUGCUAGAAUUCCAGCAUACUUAUCCUGAUAUUCCAGUAUAAUAUGCUAAAAUUCAAGUAUACUUGUACAGGAACUCAAGCAUAAUAUACUAGAGUAUUUUUCGAGUUUUGAACAAUGUUUUCGCUCAGAUUUAUCUUUACAUGGAAAGUGACUAAAUUUCAAUUACUUUUGAAAUUAAGCUAUUUUGAACGACCAAUUGUAAAUCUGGCUAUUUUUGAAUUUCUCCCUAAAAGUGAAGGUGUAUUCUCUAACAUUAUCAAGGGGGGAAAAACCUGCAAAAGAUGCAAUAUUCAUGGUUAUCGUAAUUUAUUUUUAGUAUAUAACAAGAUAAUCAAAUACAGAAUAUCAAAAAUCUUAAAAGCUCUGACGGGAUCGACACGAAAAGGAGCCUAGUGCAAGAUAGACCCACGUAUACAUGCAUCAACUUCUUCAACAAACAUGAUGUUAUUGAACAUUACAAAAGCAAAUUGUUACAAGGGCAUUAACUAUGAACUCAUAACAGAGAAAACAGUACAAUGAGUCCAUUUCUACCAAAUUCCAUCACAAUCUUGUUACACAUCAAGGAAUAAACCAGCGCAAAGUGCGCCGAAGUACAUGAGGACUAGAGAGCAACUUCUCAUUUUUCGGCUGCACUUGCAGCACUUAGAUCCACAUUGAGGUCCAAAACCUGAAGAAAGCAAUUGAGUCAUCUCGGUUAGGUCCUCCACAUAAAAUAAAUACAUCUUUUACCAAGGGGUGGGAAGACAAGAAAUGGAAGGUAAGAAGGAAUGCUAACUGGAGUAUUAUGCAGGGUAUUCAAAUACAGACGCUCCGCCUUUGAAGGUAAAGUAUCAUGCUAUCCGGAUCCUAUUUUAAUCCAAAUAACCUUUCUACCUAGAGUCACAUCGCACCUCACAAACCCAAGCAAUGGACAUAAAAAGAUUUAAUAAACCAUCAAUCAUAAGUUGUUAAGAUAAAAGAAACAUUCAAGAUCAAAAAAGAAACUCUAUACCAGCAUCACAUAAUGCAUGCUUCUCAUAAUUGAGAUUUGGAGGGGGGAGGGGGAAGGAAAAAGAAGGGAAAGGAAGCAAUUUUGUUGUUGCAUAAGUAAUUAGGCAUGCCAGUAAAAACCCUCAAUCUAUGAAUCUAUUAUCAGAACUGAACCUUAACCUUACUUGAUAUAGCAAUUUGUCAUACCCUGUCAGAAACAGACUAUUCAGCAGCACUUCCUUUAACUUAUUCAACUUUGAUGUAGAAUUUGUCCCGUUAUCAACAACUAUGGAACUCCAGAACAAAGGGAAAGUUAUACAUGUAUGACCAUUGCUACUGCAGCCAAUUCUCCCCGUCUCCCACACACAAAUGAGGAACAUGUCAAUACUCAUUUUGGGACAGACAGUCUGGCUACCAUCAGAUAUUUAAGGAACUCAUUAUACUGCCCUUCAGAUACAGAAAAUCCCUGGUUACAUGUAGUCUCGGUCUGAGCAACAUAAGCAUUUUUGGUUGGUCGACCAUGUAAAGAAUAGCACAUGUCACGAUGUGACCAAGUUUAUGACAAUAAGAACACUUGGGUCUUAGAUCUUCCAAAACGACAUCCUCCUCAUCUAUCUAUUCUCCAUAGUAUGAGAUGCUCGAUUGUCCACUGAUUGGGAUACGAGAAUAGAUGAAUCAAGUGUCUGUGAUGAGCUCACUGGGUGACUUGGUGCUGCAGCAAGGUGAAGUAAGCGAGAGAAUAAUUCAUCAACUGUGGGGACAGUCGGACUAGCCAAAAUCUGAUCGCGUACUGAGUCAAGAUCAUUAGGAAGCCCANNNNNNNNNNNNNNNNNNNNNNNNNNNNNNNNUCCCAAGUAAGUAGACAUAUCUAAUUCCUGUUUCUUUAAAUUUGUCAUCCGCGAUAUCACAUCAUAGAAACGAGAUAUGUCAUUAGUGUACAAAGUACGAGCCUUUUCCCAAACCAAAUAACAUGUCCGGGGGCAUCAACUUGGAAUCAAUAGAUCGCCACAAAAUACUACAUAAUUGAGCAUCGAUCUUCUCCCAUUUGGCUUUUUCAUCUCCUUCACUAGACUCCUUGAUUAGAUGAUCUUGAACACCUUGACCUUUNNNNNNNNNNNNNNNNNNNNNNNNNNNNNNNNNNNNNNNNNNNNNNNNNNNNNNNNNNNNNNNNNNNNNNNNNNNNNNNNNNNNNNNNNNNNNNNNNNNNNNNNNNNNNNUAGAACCUCCCAUUAAAGGUUCUGAGGUAAUCAUAACACCGGAAUUGCCAGAAGCCGAGUUUUUAGGCCCGAAAGCAUCGACUCCCAAAGACAUCAUAAAAACUUGCUGAAACAGAUGAAGGAAAUACAAGUUUUGCCGGAAAAUUAUUGUAGUUGCUGGAAAAAAAAUCACUAUAGAUGCCGGAAAAAAUUCAAAGUUGUCAGAAUUGAAAAGUAAGAAUAUGGGUAGGCUCGGAAUUCUCAGGCGAACAGACUGUCUCAAGAAAAAUUUUCCAAAAAGCUGCCGGAAAGUGGUUCACGCGCCGCCGGCGUUAGAGGAUCUGGAGGCGCGUGAGAGCGCGCGUGAGGAUGCGUCUGACGGAGCUGUUCAAUGGGGUUUGGUCGCCUGACUAUGACGGAUCUUGUGGUAGUGUUGGAUUUUGCACAACACUGACGGGGAGAGAGAUAACGNNNNNNNNNNNNNNNNNNNNNNNNNNNNNNNNNNNNNNNNNNNNNNNNNNNNNNNNNNNNNNNNNNNNNNNNNNNNNNNNNNNNNNNNNNNNNNNNNNNNNNNNNNNNNNNNNNNNNNNNNNNNNNNNNNNNNNNNNNNNNNNNNNNNNNNNNNNNNNNNNNNNNNNNNNNNNNNNNNNNNNNNNNNNNNNNNNNNNNNNNNNNNNNNNNNNNNNNNNNNNNNNNNNNNNNNNNNNNNNNNNNNNNNCCUAUACAUAUUGGAUUAGGGUUAUCUUACUACUAUUUACAUAUUCUAACAGAUACGUCCUCUCUUUCUCAGGUAUCAAUACCAAAAUACAGUGAAAGACCUAAAUUUCAAUCAAUUAGAGUUAUUGUUUCUUUCAAAUAAGGAAUCAAUUAGAGUUAUUGUUCUAAGGAUACAAGAGCUGAGGCUAAACUACUUUCCAUGAACAGCGAUCCCUUCUCAAUACUACGUGAAUUCUGCAUGACAUCAAGAAAAGAUAUGGAAGUGUACUGAACUAGCAGAGAGGGGUGUUACCAAAUGAAUCAAGUUUCUGCAAAGUACUAUGUCCUCCCCCCCCCNNNNNNNNNNNNNNNNNNNNNNNNNNNCCCCCAACCGACAGAGUUUUAAAAAAAGGAAAGAAAAGAAAUGACAAACUAAUUUAUCGUACUACCUUUUGUUGAUCUACCAAAAUUAGCAUUCAAUUACCGAAAUCUUUUCCUUUUCUCUAUUUACUAAGAGAUAUGUAAGAAGAUAAAUGCUAAGCAAUAGGACAUGAAAAAUGAUGCAUUCUGCAGAAUGUCAAAAAGGAUGGGCAGAGAGCGAAGGGUUGACCUCCUUUAACAAGUUCAACGUUUUCCAGAAUAUGCUAAAACGUACCUUUCCAGUUAUCAAGGUAUACAUAUUGAGCACAUCAUCAACAGUCGACUCAAAGUGAGUUGUGGGAUCAUAGCUCUGUUCAAACAGAAAAACGGACAUGUCAUGCUAGGUAGACUUUAUGACAAUCAGAUUCAGAAGUGACUCAAAGAGACUCACAGUUGAAAUAAAACAGUUAUCUAAUGAGGGCUCAUUGACAGGUUCAAAUCUGUCAUAUGCUUCAAAGAAGAUCUCAUCAACUUGUCCUAGAAGAUCAAUGCCAGGCUUGAGUUCACUCUCUGGAUUAUCAGUUUCUGCCUCUGUUGAGACAAAUGCAAUGAAUUUGCCCUUUGGAGCAACAUUAUGAGUGUAACUCUCUGGAUUAUCAGUUUCUGUCUCUGUUGAGACAAAUGCAAUGAAUUUGCCCUUUGGAGCAACAUUAUGAGUGUAAGAACAACAAAACAGGUACCUGAAUAUCCAAAUAUUCAAGCAUGAGUAAGAAGAUCCCACUUAUUUCCAAAAUAUUAAGUUUGACAAACCAAAUCAGAAGAACAAACAUUUUCAAGGAUGAAUAGCUUCUGUAGGAUCAUAACAACAACAACCCCAGUGGAGUUCCACAAGUGGGGUCUAGCUUCUCUAGGAGCAUAAUAAGUAGAAAUAGUAGUGGCACUAAUGCCAAUCAGCAAUAAGAUCAUCUCUCAGACCUGCUAAUUUUCCUUUUCUUUCUGGUGAUCGAGAAAUCCGUCUAGUGCCAACCCUUAGGACCAACUUCUGCCUUCGAACUCGGGAAUAUUGGGCCCGCCACUCUACCCUUCUCCACUUAAAUAUCAGGCUUAGUUCGCAGGGCAGCUCGAACCUAUUACCUAAGUGGCAAGUCCCUCAACCUUUGCCACUUGAACUAAGCCUUAGGGGCUCUCGCGGAUCUACUAAUCAUUAAGUAUAAUGUUUAUGAUUCUUUGCAUUAGUUGUUUGUUCAAUGCUAAACCAGAACUCCCAAGCAAUAAUUCAUUGCUUGUAGAAUGUCUGUUGAUACAAUAACUAAUCGCAGCUCAGAUUUAUAAUCCAUGUUUCUACUACUCGAGGAAGCUGAUUACAGUUGGUAAAGAUCAACAAUGCACAAAAUCUGGUAUUCUCCACGUCUCUGACCAUCAUUCUAUGCAGUUCUGGACAUUGAAUAACAAAUACAAUAAAUACUUGAAAUCAACUAAACAAAUACGCUAGUGAUGUGCUGUCUAUCAAGAGUGUCUGCACAUUCAAAUUCCCAUCAAUAGUACCUAAAGAGAAUCCAAUUGCACAUAGAUAAUUUUGCAUUGAAAUUUGAAACCUAAGAAGCUGAAGAGCCAUUUCCAGGAUCCAUUUAUAAAUGAAUCAACCAUGUCCAGCUCAGCCAAAUUACCAUUUUACUUAUAAUGGCAAGAAAACAUACCGAUUCCAGCAACAAUCUGUGCAAAGAUGGAAUGGCAUUACAAGGGCAGAACAGUUAAGAAAAGGAAUGUGCCUAAUCCAACUAACUCCCUCGCUUCUUUUUCUUUUCUUUUCUUUUCUUUUUUUCUUUUCUUCUUCAUGUUUACGUUUUUCUUCUUCCUUGCACUAUUUCUUACCAGAAAAAUUGGUAAUCUCAUCUCCGAAUAAAUGCAAUAGGAAGAAUCUAGUCACCCACCCCCACCACUUGUAAUAAAUUAAAGAAACGAAAGAAGACAUCAAGUUAAGGGAAUCAGUCAUAAAAAAUAAUACAAGCUUUGAAAUGUAAAAGUAAAACAGUAUCACAAUGUAAGAGAACGAACCUAGAAAAUUUAGUCAUGGAAAAUUGGAGUGCAUCGUUAUGGUACUUAGGUCUUCCAAAUGUCGAAAACUAUGUCACAUAACAUAAUAUAUCAGAUAGAGAGCGAGUGAAAGAAAGUCAUGGCAAACGUUGCAUAUAUAUUAAAUUGUGAGAUCAUUAUAGUUAGAAUAAAAAAAAUUAAAAUGCAAUUAGUCGUCAUACAUCCUAAGGAUAAAUUUAAUAAAAAUUGUUCUUUUCUAAUAAAUAUAAUAUAUCAUUUUGUUAUUAAAUAAAACUUGCUCACUCAAUCAGGGCAAGAUAAAAUGUUAUGACUUUAAGCUGAAUAAAUUUUACCUAGUAAAAUGAAGAUUAUCAUUUAUAAGUGCGGAUUUCUAUGCUAUGGCUGUAAUUUCUUUACUUGAUGAUAAAUAAAAUGUUUAAUUACCAAAAAGAUAAAGGUUAUCCAUGCAAUAGUACACCAGCUAUCAAGAAGGAUCAAACAGGUCUAAUGACUGGGCUAAAUUUUGUUUCAAGAGUAAGCUUUGGUGUCUAAUCAUUUGUUUAGCUUUUAGCUCUCCCCUGAGACUAAAAACAAAAUAAAUUAUUUGCAAGAUACCGGAGAAAAACUUACAUAUCAGAUUUACGGCCCAAUUGUUUUUGGGGUAAGAUAAUUUGCACCGAGUGAGAAUCAUUGGUAUUAGGAAUUGGGUGGCUCAUAAUUGCAAUAGCUCUUGCAACUUUUCCAACCUUUCUAACCUGCAAUAAAUGCCUUGGGUUUAUUAAUCUAUCAAAACCACUUUAAAUGAUUAAGCCAGACAUCCCAAUAGUAAGUAGUUUGACAUCUCCUAAGCUACAUUGUCCACGCGUUCAAUGUGAUAUACACGGACAAUGGCCUUUUCUCAAAUUUCAUUAAGCACCAAAUUGGUGUAAAAUUUAUGUCCGAGACAUCUAAGUGACUCUACUUGAGUCAUCCAUUAUCUUCCAAGUUCCACCAAGUUUGACCAACCUCCUGUGCAACAUGGUAUUUUCUCCUUGUACUGAGAAUGGCCAAAUGGAAUGCUAAAUAAGACAUGUUGGCUAUUAUAUUUAAGAAGUCACUAAAAUUAUCAGUUCAGAGCAUUUAUUACCUUGUUGGUCGAGUAAGAAGGAUCACAUACAACUUUCUUGCACUUAACUGUCUCUCCUUCUGAAGUGACACCACAAACCUUUCCUUCUUCAUCAAACUCUACCUGGAAUUUGAGGAGACAUUCUUUAGAGGACAAAAAAUCGAAGGCACCUUUUAUACACAGCCAAUACAGAAAUAUAAACUGUACCUUGCAUUCAGGUUUAUUCAACAUAUAGGUGCCACCAUACACAGCACUUUUUUUAAGAUGAUGGAGGAUGACUAAUAAUAACAAAAGCAGAAAAUACAAAAUUUAAGGAGGAACUCAAGGUAGUACCUGAGGAAGCUCUCCUAAUCCAUAUAAAGGGUAGAUAUAAGGUGAUCCUCCUUGAAAACGUGCAAGAGACUCAGCAUAUAGCUGUCCCAUUACAUGGAACAAAAGUUCAGACAUAAGCACAUGGAAUUUUAAAUACCACUAGCUUAAGAAUUCAAAGGAGGAACAAUUUGAUUCACCUUCAUUCUCUUCACUGUAUCCAGCGCAGGUUCAUCUAAGUAGCGGUCAUCUCUAUGUAGUGCCAAUGCAUGACCAAUGAAGUCCAUAGUGUUCUCAUCAAGACCAUAUUUUCUGAUAAAAUAAAGAAUUAUCAUAAGCAGCAGAACGAGGGGGUUUACAAAUAAAUUACAAUAUAUUAUAGGCAAUGCCGACGAGUGCUUUUUGAUGCCAACUUCUACAAAUUGACAAUUUCAGAACAUUAAAAGAUCAUUAAAUAAAACACACGAGAGAUUAAAUAUUAGGAUUUCAACAAUUUCUAAUCUUUUAACCAUCAGAUCAUCUCACCACUCCAGAAGCAUGUUACAAAAAUAAGGCCCAUUUUGGUCUAGUGGUAAGAGUCCAGCUCGUGAUAUGUGGAUUAGGCGCAGUCACAAGUUCAGCCCUGCAGCAGACAAACGUCUGGUGUUUACGUGGAGAAGGGUAGAUGUGCAGGUCCAUUAUCCAUUGAAUUUUGAACCAUGCUCCAGCAUUGGAUCUCCCGGUUAAGCAAAAAAGGACCUUGGACCUAACUCAACUCCAAUAACUAGCUCGUAAAAUGAUGAUUGUUAAAACCAUAUUAAGGUGACAAUAACCAACUUCCUCAACUAAAGCAGGACACACUAAGAAAGCAUAAGACAAAUCAGACAUUUUACAGGCACCUACCAUUAAUUCUACUCACUAGUUUCCUUCUUUUUUUUUUAGAUAACAAAAUUGCACUCAUUACUUUCUUCUCACAAGCUCAUAAUAAACAGGUAUAAAAGACACAAAAUCUAAGACAGUUUAACAACAAUUAUCUCAGACACAAAAGGCCUCAACUAAUCUAUCGGAAGAAAUAAGGAAGUUCAGGAGCUUACGCUAUAAGCUCUCUUGUUGUCACUCUUGUUAGAUCCAUCCCCUCGUGUGUCUUAGGAUCACUCUCAUUAUAAUCCUGAACAUAGAUAAAGAAUUUCCGUGCACGGCGUUUCUCAAAUAUGCCCAUUAAAGGAGAUUUAAGUGCCUCCAUAUCUGUGGCAGGCACCUUGUGGACCUACUCAUUAAGUAAAUGAGAACUGUAGGUUAGAUAAACGAAUAGUCUUGAAACUAAAAGCUGACAUCUCACGACAACACCAAAAGAAUGAAAAGAAGUGUACCUUUCCUUUACUAUACACAAAGCUUCCAUCAACCGCUUUGAAGUACAAAUAUUUUGUAACAUCGGUGUGGAUUAGAACUCGUACAAGUGCACCAUUAGCCAUAAUGAACUGCUCCAACCAUUAAGUUAGAACACCAGUACAUAGUCAAGAGCUUUCCAUCAAGCAGAUAGUCAAAAGAGGAAGAGGAAGUAAGUUAGAACACCAGUACAUAAUCAAGAGCCUUCCAUCAAGCAGAUUGUCAAAAGAGGAAGAGGAAAACCAUAGGGAUCAUGUCGACAUUAUAAUCCCUGCUCGAACCCAAUUGAGGUGGAGGCUUGUCACUCCCCCUGAACUUCUUCCAGAGCUGAAAGCCGAAAACUCCAUCAGAGACAUGUCAAAAACAGAAACUCGAUUUGUAAUAGGACCUUUACCUGCACAAGAUUGAGGGAUGUCGAUUCUCCUCCAUAGUAGUCAUUCCUGUCCAUGUGCAGAACCUAUUUACAUGGAAGUAACAGUAAUUACUGAGACAAUUCAAGUAAAACAGGAUAGCAAACAUAUCUCACGAGAAAAAAAAAAAAGACAUCAAGAUAAAGAAAAGGAUAAAUUGCUCACUCUUCCAGAGCUGAAAGCCAAAAAAUCCAUCAGACACAUGUCCAGAACAGAAAACACGAUUUGUAAAUUAUUAGAGGACCUUUACCUGCACAAGAUUGAGGGAUGUCGAUUCUCCUCCAUAGUAGUCAUCCCUGUCCAUGUGCAGAACCUAUUUACAUGUAGGGAGCAGUAAUUACUGAGACACUUCAAGAAAAAUAGGAUAGCAAGCAUAUCUUACAAAAAAGAAUAAAGAAAAGAAAAAAAAGACAUCAAGAUAAAGAAAGCCAUAAAUUGCUCUAGUUGAUAGUAUCUCCCCUUGCUUUCUUUGUUCUGACAAGUGACAGGAGAGUUGGUUGAUCAAAGAUAUUGGCAUCAUCCAUUGACACGUACUCUUCCAGAGCUGAAAGCCAAAAAAUCAAUCAGACACAUGUCCAAAACAGAAAACACGAUUUGUAAAUAAUUAGAGGACCUUUACCUGCACAAGAUUGAGGGAUGUCGAUUCUCCUCCAUAGUAGUCAUCCCUGUCCAUGUGCAGAACCUAUUUACAUGUAGGGAGCAGUAAUUACUGAGACACUUCAAGAAAAAUAGGAUAGCAAGCAUAUCUUACAAAAAAGAAUAAAGAAAAGAAAAAAAAGACAUCAAGAUAAAGAAAGCCAUAAAUUGCUCUAGUUGAUAGUAUCUCCCCUUGCUUUCUUUGUUCUGACAAGUGACAGGAGAGUUGGUUGAUCAAAGAUAUUGGCAUCAUCCAUUGACACGUACAUUUUAUUUGCUCUGUUGUAUUAUAUUUCUACCUCACACAUAAGUAACUAAGAUCAAUUGAGACAAAUUCACAACAUUCGCAAAAGAGAUACAGCAAUCUUGUAAGAAAUUUAACCUUGCAAAGGCUUCAAUAUAGCAUACGGAUAUAGGUGGAUAGUCAAUUGUAUGAUUUGAAUUGCAUAAUGUUUUAAGGCAUUAUUGUUAUUGUUGUUGUUAUCUUUUAUUACAUGUGUUUAUCGUGAGAUUUACUUGUAAUUACUUUAAAAAUGACCUGAUUGUGUAAGUAUCUUUUAACAGCCAGAAGUUAAGCUCGAAUUGAGUUAUGGCAAGUACAUGUGAAACUCAUGGAGAAAGGGAUUCUGAUAUGGCAAGUGAUGAACCACUGAAAAGUAAAUGCGAUAGCACAAAGAAACUGAGGGAUAAAAAAAUCCGAAAAAGAACUGAAAAUCCACAAGAUAGAUCAAACAAAAGGAAGAAGCCGAUCUAAAAGAAAUCAAAAGUAGAUAAACAUCUUUAAGCUAAUAAGGGGAAACUGUAAGUAAUAGUAUAUAAGUAAUAAGAAUCAGAAAUCAUAAAUGAAAAAACCUUAAGACCAUCAACAGAGAGAAGACCACUGAGGAUACAUUCCUUGAGGCCUGUGCCAAGCACUAUCACAUCGUACUCUUCAUCCAUCUUUUUCUUUCGACACACAAAAUUAAUAAAGAGAUUGGAUCUACUCCGAUAGUUAGGGUUCUUCUAUACUUGAAGCUAAAAUGCCAAGAGGAGGAGGAGUAGACUGUGUUGAUGACUAACUCUAUUUUUAAAAUAUGACAAGUAUGCUUUGAUGCUGGAACAAGGAAAAUAUUAUCCUUUGCACAUUAAAAAAAAAAAAGGAAACGCCAACAAAGGGUUAUGUUCCUAUUUUUUAUAUUAAAAAGUUUCUUUUUGAUUUAAUUCGUUAUUAUAAUUCAUUUAUAUUAAUUAUAUUCUUUUUUUAUUCCAUUUCAUCUGAUGAUUUUGAUUAGUAAUGGAAACUAAGAUAGGAUGAAAGACAUUCAAAAUUUGGUGAUAUAAAUUACCCCAUUAAAAGUAAAAUUGAAAUCUUUUUUUUUAGGUGAUAUUUCAGGGUCCUCUAGCUCUUCCAAAAAAUCCUAAAAUCCUCUCAAAUAAAUCCUCUAAAAAAAUCCUUCCGGGGAAAAUGAUCAGAUGUUCCUUUUAUAACUAAAGCUUCAGGGCAACAUGAGUCUUUUGUUUUUUCCUUUUAGUCCUUUACCCAUUUUCAGAUUUGCCUAAAUGAUCCUUGAUUUUCUAACUUGUGCCUCAAGUUUUGAGGCAGAAAUUGUACUUGGACCCCUCACUUUUACCCAUGUUCAAAUUUGCCUAAAUGAUCCUUGGUUUUCUAACUUGUGCCUUAAGUUUUGGGGCAGAAAUUGCACUCGAACCCCUCACUAGAAUGUUCCAGGAGUUUGUUACAAGAUUUCCUAUAUUCAAAUGUCCUUAAUACCCCUGUCUUCUUUCCUAAUUACUGGCCUAAGUGUUUUAAAC